UUCUGAGUGAAAGCAGUGAAUUAUUAUUUUUUUUCUUGUCACAUUUGAGAUGUAAUUGUUGACUGUUUUCAACAAUGUACAUCAAAAAAGGACAUUGAUUGACUGAAAAUGGUUCACUUCUUUUCUCAUGUAUAUUUAUAAUUGCUCUUUCCCUAAAAAAAAUGUUUUAUCCAGUUACUCGAUUAAUCGAUAGAAUUUUCAGUUAAAUACUCGAUUACUAAAAUAUUCGAUAGCUGCAGCCCUAAUACAUUGUAUGGCGUCAGUGCUCAGCUCUCAAUUCUAUAGGCUUAUGUAGAUGUAUUUAUUGAUAUCCUCACAUUUGUUCAUUUAAUUUUCUUUCUUUUUUUUUUUUUUUGAAAUUGACUGUUUAUUGAAAAGCAAAUUGUUCUUUCAACGUACAAUACGAAAAGAUUUUACACAUUUCUGCUGCUUUUCCUUUUUACAAACAAAAUGAUUUUUUUUUUUUUUCAAAAAAAUGAAACCAAAACCGAGGAGCAGGGAACCUAUUACAUCACUAUACCUUUUACAUUCAAGAAAUCAUUAUGUAUGAGCAUAUAUUAAUCGAAAUCAUUUCGCACAGGCUUAACAUAUUCUGUCCAUUUUGUCCACAUCACAUAAGACAUGUCCAGUUGUAGUUUUAGUGCGUAGGAGAUCCUCUCCAUAAUAAAAAUCUCUCUCACGACGUCAAUCGAGUCAUCUGUUGUUGGUCUUUCAGGUUUGAGCCACUUUCUUUCAAUGCUUUUUAGCUUGCAGCCAAUAAAAUAUGGACGAGUUUCUUUUCAUUACUGCUAAUUUGUUGCACAUUUAUUUUACAUAAGUACAUGGUAGCAAAGGACAUGGGGAUGUCAAAAUUAAACAUGUUUUGUAGGUGACAAUGAAUGUCCAACCAAGUGGUUGGUCAUUUCAUUUUCAUAUUCAUUCAUUGCUAGUAUAUUACUGACAUCUGGUUACUGACAUGAUCUUGUUAAGAGGCAAGAAAUCUUGGAGCCUUCGUCCCUCACCAAGGUUUUCCAGAUAAGAGUUGGUUUUCACUCUAGUGAUCUUCCACUGUUUUUGCCCAGUUGGUGGGCUGGCUCUAAUAAUUUGCAUAACCAUUAUAUAAAGUGUAUCAUUCGGGAGGUCGGGGACGGAAUAUUCACGAGGGCAUCAUGGUGCACUCGGGAGACUAAGUCCAGGCCGGCCUGCUAUUAGUUUUUCAUCGGGGUGCACGAUAUCCAUUUUUUUGAAAGCGAUACUGAUAACUUCCUGCUCCUCAAAGCUGAUACCGAUAUCGAUAACCAAUAAUAAAUAUAUAAUUUUUCAAAUGUAUAACCUGAGUUUUAGAACACCUGGAGGUUUAAGCCCCACCCCCACCAAAAAAAAAAAAAAAAAAAAAAAAAAAAAAAAAAAAAACUAGUGGUGGAUUCAACAUAGAUUUGCCCUUUGAUUUUACCAGAUUUUUCAUAAUCACAUGAACAAAACAGUGCGUUUCUGUCAGGCCGAGAUGACGAGGCGGACUCAGCUGCGGAGGUUCAGGCAAAACCUUAUUUUGAAAACAGAGGUUCUUCCGCUGACAUGCGGGGAUGAGAAAAAGUACAAACAAAAAGCGCUCCAACGAAGGAAUGAGUCAGGAUGACUAGAAACAAAAUAAGGUUUCAAACACAAAGCACUCCAAAAGGGAGGUAAGGCAAAAACAUAAAGCGCUUCAAACGGAGGAAAAAGUCAAGCUGGCUAGGAUCAAGAAGGUUCUAACACAAAGCGCUCCAAACGGAGAAUAAUGUUCAGAAUAACUAUGAUAGCUAUGGCAAGAGGCUUACGUGACUGACCUUAGAUGAAAGACACUUCUGCACAAGACAAAGGGAAUUAGGGCAUUAUAUACACACACAAGGUAAUGUGGAACAGGUGGAAACAAUAGGUGAUUAGCUGACAAGAGGAAGGGCAAGUAUGAAGAGGGUGAAGCCUUCAAAAUAAAACAGCAAGUUUCACUUCUGCACUGCCCGACAGCCAGCUAAGAAUGAAUGCACUUCCAUAAACCACAAGGCUUGGUCUUUUCUUGGUUUUAUGGGAAGACACUCGUCUUAAUAUUGUGAAAGUACAACAGAAAAAUACACAUAUUCAAUACUCAAUAUACAACAAACUGCACAAUACACUUACUGUAUAUACACAACUAUUAUACUGUAUGUAUAGCAUAGCACACUAGCUUGAGCUACUAAAGCAUUGGCUGGCUUCUAUAACACAACAACUUAUGAAGUUCUGUACAUAUGACCCUUCACCACAAAGGUAAACCUAUAUUGCACAUUCAUACGUUAUAGUUAGCAUAAAAUACUUACAGACAUAUAUUUCCGAGGCGGAAAUGUAACAGAAAGCAUUCACGAUUGUCAAUGCUACCGCUGGACACCGCGAUGUGUAAGGGAAUGAACCAAACUAUUGUAACAAAAAAAUAGAUGCAGAGAAUUAUUCUGACCGGCAGGUAGCAGCAAUGCCCCGCAAAUGGUCAACUGAUUUCCCAUACUAGUGUGUAAACUGUAAAGCCAGCACAGUACAUAUUAUCGGUCCUAUUAAUAAUGUAAUUGGAUUUAUCGGGAUGACGUCAUAAAUCCUAUUAUCGGACUGAUAAUUAUCGGACCGAUAAUUAUCGGACUGAUAAUUAUCGCGCACCAGUAGUUUUUCAUUAAUGACUAAAUGUAUAUACAGGAGCUAAAGUGAUUAUUGUGUUCUUUUUUGUUCCUGAAUUAUGUGUCAUCAUCUCCUGUCACCUAAGAGAAUUAGAAACUGUAUAAAGAGAAAAUCGACUUUUUUCUUCUUCAAGUACCAAUGAAGAUAGAGAACUUUCCCACAGAAACAUAUUUUCUCCACACUUCACUAUACUAUCGGCAUGUUGCUUAGAAACGGGUACAAUACAGUUUCUCAUAACGUGGUUACAUGGCAUGGAUGUUCAGUCUAAAAUUCAUAGACUGGAUGGCUUCUUACUGAGACUUCGUAGCAUUUCUCACUAAGGCAUCUGACCUAAAGCCUUCCUGCUCCCUCUGCACGGGAGAUUGCUCAGUUACUUGAGAAAUCGCUUUUCAGACCUUUGUUUUUCCAUGUCCUGCCAACGUGACCCUGACUGCUAGCUGAAGCGAAGAUACUAAACAGAACAGUAGGUGAGGGUUUUCUAGAUGAAUUCAGGUUGUGCGACUGCAAGCCUGCCGUGGAUGGAAGAAUCUUCAAAAAGCUUUUUUAAUGGUCUUUCCUACAAUUGACUUCAUGUUUCAUUUUGACUGAGGAAAAAGAAGUGUUUCAACAGUGCUGGAGCCAGACUUUAAUUUGAACCUCGGGCUGCCAAGAUCUUCCUUAGGGUAGAUUUGUGAGAACCUAUAAUUGUUUGCUAAUUUCAUGUUAAUGGGAAAAUUCUGGAGAAUUGUCAGGAAACGCUAAUGUGAACGGAAAGCCUCUCUGCCCUCUGUUGCCAAAGGUUUGUGAAGUUGGCCAAAUAUGUUUCGUAAGUGCAAAGGCAGAAAUAUGCAAAAUUGUUCCAGUGGGCCCAUGGGGUUGUUUGUUUAAAAAACAAAUCUCAAUACCAGAUCAUUAUUGCUCGAAAGUGGGUUUCUAUGCUGCUUGCAUGUGUAUUUCACCUACUAACAUAUUUGCCAUUGUUACCACCUCAUUAAAUACACAGUAAAUAUUUGUUUGAAACCCUUUGGCAAUUUCGAACUUUCAUAAAUGAUAGUCAAGGGGUUUAGCGGCUACUGUUAGUCCGGGGCAUCUUUAUUGUGUGUGAACGUGCAAAUGAGACCUGUUUUCUGGUGAUAAAUACAUUGCACCUCUAAGAUAAAACUGGAUUUACUUUUGCAACAGUGCUCGCUGCCGGGCUCUAGCCAGGUGCUCUGCACCGUGUGAGACCCCUGAGCAGGUCGACCCGGCUUACCCUUACACUUUGUCUAGUUGAACAGCUAGGGUAAUUACGAAGCGGCUUAGUUUGGGAUUAAGGUUGGAAGUUGGCUGAUCACAAGGGACAGGAGAAAAGGCAUUAGAAGCAUGGUGGUUAAGAUGGAUAUUACUCUGCUUAGCAGUGGUAUCAUGUGACAAUAUCAGGAACUGACAAUAGGGCACUGUUGAUGCAACGAUCCCUCACCCAGCACUAAUAGGCUUUGGUGCAUAUAGCUUUGUUUACCCACACUGAACUUUUCUGCAAACUCAUUUGACUCAACCUUUAAUGAUAUACUGUAUAUAUAUAUAUUUUUAUCAUUACAAAAUAGUCAUGUUUUGCUCUAAACCCUGGAGUAUUUUAGCAGCGUUCAGAUGGUUUUUUGCCUUACUGCAGCACCUUUGAAACAAAGCAGGAAAGAUGGUUCCCCAGUCUCAUGAGUGCACACUUGCUGUGUUCAAAAUGUUUCUGUAGGAUGUAAUUAAUGUCCUCAUUAACCAACUGAAUGAGCUGUGUAUGGCAGAACUAAAAGCCCUCGGGUCCUAGGCUUUCUUUACUUUGGAAAAUUGGUUACUGAAAUAGAUAGCCUUUAGUUGGUUAAAAUAAAGCCUGGUUCAACGGUUGAUUUCAUUUGUGUUAACUUGUCAGAUGAUUAAAGGGGAUGUAGCGCCCUGGGAAAAUUUUGAUAUUCCAUCAUUUAUCCAUAAACGCAUGCCUUUUGUAUUCAUAUCAUGCCACUUCGUGUAAUUACACACAAGAAAAUGAGAGAAAUUUGGCUCGAUUGUCAAGCUAAAACGACCGGCGCCCGAGAUCUGGCAGAUUGUGUGCGUGACGUCACGUCAAGUGAAGAGAGUGCCACCGGCCACUAGGGGGGCAGCGCCUGUCUGCAUCAAUAUAAUUCCUUCUAGUGUGGGGAGAAUUAGGGGUGUUUUGAGCUGUUUAUGCUGAUGCAUUGUGUUCGUCCUGCACAUAUUCCAGGUUCCCUCAUGAAGAAACACCGCUCGUUGUCAAUAAAAGAGAAUUCAGAGUUGGCAGUGAGGGCUGUUUCUUCAACAAGAAAAAGGCUCAGUGCUUUAAUACUGAAUGGCGGCGAUGAUGGCAGUCAAUUUCGUUUCUAGUUUCAGCGACGAAUCCGACGUAGAAGGACGUAACGAAUGUUCAUCUAAUGGUGACGAGGAGAGUUGCAAAGCUUUAAUCGGUGUUAUAGGUGACCAAUUUGAGCCCAAACGAACGCCAAUGCAGCGUAAUGAAACGGUCAUUGAGGGGAGCAAUGACACUGAUGAAACAUCGGCAGCAGAUCGUGUGGGAAACACCAAUGAUUUGUUUAGCAUUUCUUUUUGUGAAGCUGAUACACCGUGACUGCAAAAUAAAGGAAUGCAUAGAAUAAUUAUAAUUUAUUGCGCUAUCAUAGCUUUUCGCUCUGCCAACAGACACAAAUAUGAACGGGAUCAGAGGAUUUGUUCUAUAUAUUUUACGAACGAUCAUUUAUACAUGUGUCGAGUCCUGUAUCCAAAGGCGUGACAUUUUUUUUAAUUAAUUAUAAAAGAGUACUCACUCUGGCCAUUUCAAGCUUGGCUGCUCCCUUCUUUGCGUAGCUUUAGCCUCCUUUAGCAGUCAUCGUCUCUCUCUUGAUAUCUCGGGACAUUUAGGUGGCUGUGCAUCUAUGGUCGGCACCGCAUCUCCUUUGAGCAGCAAUCUUUUAGCAAAACCCGAUUUCUCUUGUCCAUAGUUCGAGAAGCUUUCAGUUGGAAAAUGCGCACCACAGAAAAGCGUGCCGGAGGCUGUGUCUAGAAAAUUAGCCCUCUUUGCACGGACGAACUUUACCCAUUUUCUGUGUAGUCCAGCUUUUUUUUUCGCGUUCAGGAACUCAUGGAUACUAUAUUCCGAUAAACAACUAUUUGUACACCACAUAGCACAGCAGUUUUGAACCAUUGUUGUGAUGUUUUGGUCAAACAAACCCCAACGCUACUCUCUCGUCGUUAAAAAACAAUGGCACCUAGCUCCGCCUCGACUUUCAAUCACUUGUCGUGACGUCGCCGCCCCAUUCGGCUGUUUCCGGAACACUUUCGGUAGUGUUCGUCAUUUUCGAUCUAUUUUCGAUAAUUGCUCAUUAAUGUGAUUGAUUUUUUUGUUAACUUUAUCAAUAUUUGUUAUCUUGGCGCAUAACGGUUCUAUUGAUGUCUCACACCCCCUUUGCCGAAACAUCCCCUUUAAAUGCAUGAGUAUGACAAUAUCUGACGUAUCGUAAAAUACUUGAACUCGAACAUUGCUUUCAACACAAUAGGGAAGCAGGUGUGAGUAUAAUAACAUUAUAGUUGUGUGCCAGCAUUUUCAGAUUUUUUACACGGAAGGAGAACUACUCAAUAACCUGCAUCCCCUGUCAGUUCUAUCUCCACAAAAGGACGACCCAGAAAAAGGCAUAAAAAUCCUGGCUUUUUCAGGCAGUCUAACAGGGGCUUUAGUUUCGGCCAUAUUGAGAAUGGGAGAAAGGAACGCUUUUCCUUAGUUUUAAGCGUUAAUCCCUUCAGAAGGACCAGCCAACCCUGGCACGUCUGAGGUAAUGAGGCCAGAACAAACAGCAGACAGGAAUGUAUUUGUCUGAGUAUCUUGGCUUUAUUCUUUCCUGUCUCCAGAAGCAAGAAGCGGGGACCUUCCUUCCAGACCUCUUAAUUCUUCUCUCUAGAUGCCAGUGUCAAAUUCUAUGUAUCCAGUGGAGGAAUAAGUAGUGGUUUGAACAGAUGCUAUAGUGGGCCAGACUGCCAUUAUUGCAAAUGAAUUAACUAGGUUUUACCUCUCAGAGUGAUGGUUUCUUGCUUGACUGGUUGUCUGUUGGCUUGGUCAGGCACAUCUACUCCUGGGGGAAGGGGCUCAUCGAAUGCUGAAGUCAAGGAAGUGAGGAUUUAUCCCAGUCCAAUGAAUCCCUUUGGCUCAACAAACUCCUGCUGAAGCAUUUAAAAUGGGUCUGUCUUUUUCCUCAGAGAUGUGGAAGAAAGAUAUUUCUUUAUUUGCAAUAAAUGUUUUCUUCUGUACCAUUGAGUUGAUAUGUGCUGCUAAGAAUUGUUAGUGGCAGCAGAGUAGGUAAGAGGUGAGCUGAACUGGAGAUGAAAUGUCCUUACAGCUUUUUCAUUCUCAUAUUACAUCAUUACCUUAAAAUGAACUGUUUGGCAUAGCUUUCUAGGCUGUAAGUAAUUGUCUGGUAUGAUGUGUUGUUAUGUUUUUUUUUGUUGUUUUUUUUGUUUUUAAAUUUUUUUUUUUAUUGCCCAUUUCAUUUGGGUAUAACUGUACUGACAGCAGUACAUAAAACCCAGGCAAUUUUUUGUUAAUGAGUAGCUCCAGGGUUUUUUUCAUGCAGCUCCAAAUGUUUUAUGUUUUCCAGCUUUACGCUAUAUGACUGCGCCAAGAGGAUCAAUUGAAUCCUAACUUUUGAGCAGGACAGUGUGAUUAAAACAGCCUAUCAUCAACAGAGUGUAGAGCCUUGAUGAUCAGACUCCUGAAAACAGCUGGAGGUCAGAGUCUGGCAGAAAAUGUUUUUGUUGUUACAAAUCAAACAUGGCAAAGGCUGGGCCCUAUUUGAAGUUUGACAUGGCUUAAAUUAAAGUACAUGCUGGAAAACAUUUGUUAUUCUCUUUCCCAACAAUACAAUUAGUAAUACUUUCAACCUUGAAUUUAGUUUUGCGCUUUUGCAGUUUGUCAUUUAUGGGCAAUUUACUAGACUAGCAGUUGAUUUUCCGCAAUCUGACAGAAUGGAAUAAACAAUCCUUUGUUGAAAAAUGUGUUUAAACCACCAUCUGUUUAAAGGACCUUUUUCUGUGACACAGCUGGAUGGAGCUGAAUCAUAGACACUCACAUCUGUUGUCUUUGCUUUCUUGGCUGAUGCUACCACUUCUACAUGUGAGGAUUGUUUAGUGACACUGCUCAACCUAGAAUAUUGUAAUUGUGUAAUACCAUAAGCGAUAUUUCACCGCGCAUGAAUGAAACCUGACUGAGUGUAUUGUCAAUAUCCUACCCAAGUUGUAUUACUGGUAGUUAGUCUAUAUUUCUUCUCAGAAUCGGAAUAAACAUCCUGUCAGAACAGAAAAAAAAAAAAAAAACUGUUUUUGAAAGUAUCUCUACCAACCUGUUCUAUAAUUUCUAGAUGAUGUGAAAGUAUUGUACAUUAAAUUUUAAAAUGACUUCCUGUAUGUAUACAAUGGGUAGUUGUGAGCAGUUUUGGAAUUAACGCACUUACAUUUGUUACAUUGCAUGACGAAACCGCUUUUUGGUGGAACUUUGAAUGUAAUGUGUUACAUUUUCUUGUUCUGUAACAACCCUAUUAUUACUGUACGAGCGUUACUCAACUUAUGUUACUUGGUCCAAGUGAAAAGUCUGAAAAGUCUGUCAUUUACUGCUGCUUUCUGCGCGAGUGAUAGACCACUAUUUGUGGUGUUCUCUGUUGACAGUUUUGUACUCUCAUACUAGCCUGGGAAUCCACAUGGUUCUUCCCACUCUAACAUGAACAUGGCAUGUCCCAGUUGUUAUGAGAAGUUAUUGACUGGCUAACAAAAGGCAAGAUGUCAGGGUAAGCCAAUCAGACAUUCUGACAGAUUAAGGCAGGUCUUACUACAAGUAUGGCUGUCCAAACACAGACUAGGGAUGGGAACCUCUUUGUACCUCGUGAUACGGUACGAUUUGCGAUAUAAAGCACACGAUAACGAUGAUCUCGCGAUAUGGCGAUACAACGAUUAUCGUUACAUUGGUCAGGAAAUCAUUCUCGCAUAAUCUACAAAAGAACUAAUAAACAGAAAAACAAGCUAUCUUCAUCUUUCUGCUGUAAGUUUAUCACGAGUAGACUUCCAAUCCAUUUGAAUUUGGAGGGUGGCAGUGAAUGAACCCCUCCCACUUCAAAUGGGCACCUCCCACUUCUAUGGCCAUCAGUGGCAGCCAAUGGCUGGCAAUGAGGUAAUUUUGGGCCAUUUCAGGUCAAUACCUGUUGAUUUUCAGUCUUUUCGUGGGGAUUUUGGGGCAUUUUAUGGGUCUCUUCCUGUUAAUUUUGGGUUACAGAACAGGAAGUGACCAAGCAAUUCCCCAAAUGAAUAGGCAGUGACUCAAAAUCAACAGGAAGUGACCUUUAAAUGCCCUAAAAUGAACAGAAAGUGACCUGAAAAUGCCACGAUAAUCGGAAAGUGUGUCUGUGAAUGCUCUGGUUUCGAAUGAACAGGCGGUUCAUUCGCCCUUCCCAGUUUUAAUGGUGAGACCCUAUUAUGGUGGAAGAUUUAGGUAGAAACUUGUUGGUUCCUUUUUUUUUUUUUUUUUAAAGAAGCACUUGGUAAUUUUUCAGUUUUGGUCGAUUUUAGCGACGCCAGUGGACAAAAGCGGUAGUGUCUGGCCUUAAGGAAGAAGGCGUUUCCCAUGAGGACCAGCACACACCCGCAAAGUGUCAAAAAAUCAUCAAUCAAUCAAAAAUCGAUCUCCCGGUCGCCUGCAGAUGGAUUAAACAACAUUUCUGUUUCAGCGGUUGAGUGACAGAUGAAUAAGGUAAUGAAUCCAGUUGUGGCUAAACAAUAACAUAUGACGUUUAGCAACUGUGUGGCUUAAGCCCUUUUCACACACAUAUCCAUGGAAAUUCCUGUAUAAGUUUACGGGGUAUUUACUCGCGUCAUUGCUUUCAGGCAUAAAAAGAUGUCCUGAGAAUGAAGCUGGUUGGACGCUUUCACAGACUUGUCCGGUGUGUCCCACUGGCAUUCUCUGUGCGGGGAGGGCUGCUGAUGCAAUUUUAUAACCUGGGCAUUACGUCAUUUUUGGUCAGCAUCGGCUGUCACAAUGUUGGUCAAAUCGUGUCGUGUUUUGUUCCGAACGGAAGGUUCCCGACGCCGUAACUGCAGCCAAUUUAAGCUCAUCAAGACUAUUUAAGCAAGAGGUAAGAUCGGGUUUAAAAAAAUCCAACCCGACCCAGGUGCCAGGUAUUAAAGCCCAACCCGGCCCAAGCCUGAUCAAUUAACUUUUUUUUGCAGGGCCCGAGCCUGAAAACCCCUCCCCUAAAAUUUUAUGUUUUAUUUGUAGGCCCGAUCCCGGAAAAAAAACAACAACAUUUUAUAUUUUUAUUUGUAGGCCCAUAGCCGGACCCCCCCCCCCCCUUCCCAAAAAAAAAAAAAAAAAAUCGAUGUAUUAUUUGUGAGGACUCAGGAGAAGGAGUAGUGGGAAGGGAUGCGCCAGUCAGACAUGGACAGAGCACUGCUUGCUGCUUGUAUGAACACAUUUGUGACGAUGCCUGUGCAUAGUAGCCUGUCUUUUGUAGCGAAUUCUCAGUUGGCAGAAAAAAAACUACUUUUCCUAAUGUUUAAAUAGUCUACAUCAUUUUAUGAUCAUUAUAAAUGCAUUUACUCAACGAAAUAACGCUGGAAAAGUUUGUUAAAUAUAAAUAAAUAGAUGCGGUUUUGAGGACGGGGAAGAUUUAAACUUCUGUUUGAAAUGACCAUACAGCGCCUUCUCUUUUUUAUCCAAAUUAUUUAGUUUAUAACAAAUAUUCCUUAUUUUAACAUCCAUACAUCGUUUUAGUAUACAUAUAUAAAUACAUAUUUAUUUAAAAAGUUAGCAAGAGAGAACCCCGGCCGGCCCAACCCGACCCGAACAUAAUAUUUGACAUUUCAUUUCAGUUUAAUUUAGCUAUUUCCAGCUUGCGAUGUUUGUUUGCUGCUUUUGGUCUUACUUCGAAGAGGGAGGAAGUGACGAUCGGCCCACCAUGACAUUUAAAUCCUCAGCCAUCGUGCCGUGACCCUGGAAUUUAAUGCCUGCUUUCAUGUACACCGCUUCCCGGCAAAGUCCUGGACAUGAUACUAGGACGCGUGUAAUCUAUGUGUCAGUCGACACGGGAAAUUGUUUUCACACACAAGUCCUGCACGGUUAAGUCCCGCAGUACUCCCAGUGUUUCAGAGCAUUUGAAAGGGGCUUCAGUGUGUAAUUUAACUAGUUUUCAGUCGACAUAUUAUCACAAAUGUUAUGAAAAUAUUUUAUAAACGUCGAAAAGUCAUCUAGUGAUGCUUUAAACAUUGACGCCUUUUUAAAACGAUCUUUCGAUUCUUGGCAUGAGCGUAUCGAUAACCUUUUAGGAUGCAAAGUAUUACGAUAUAUCACCUUUCCAUAUUGUGUCACACCCCGUACACAGACACACAAACCCAGUUUUUGCACACACACAAAACUCCAGUUGAACGAACUCACGCUACAAUGGAAAGUGCGCAUAACACUGAGAGUCGUGGCUUUUCAGGGUGGAAAUACAUUUUCACAACUUCUAAUUUUAAACUUUUUUUUUUAUAUUAUUAUUAUUUUUCAAAGUGAAAUAACUUAGUUACUUUCAUUAUUGAAGAAAGUACUUUUUCAAAGAAGUAACUAUAACUUUUUUCAAAAGUAACUUGAACAACACUGGUUUGAGUGACAAGCCUUCUUUUUGUAUUCCUUUGAGCUUGUAACUAAAGGUGACAAGUUACAACUCUUAAGUUUCUCUAAAGUUUUUCAAUGUCACCAAGGGCAUUUAUAUUUUACUCCAAUUUUAGAAUGGUUCAUGGUUUAAUUGGUCGUUUGGCCAUUUUAUUAAUCAAUUUAAGUCCGUUCUCUUUAGCAUUAGUUCUCAAGGCACUUCACUGGGUGACAUGCAACAAAAGGCAUAUCACGAUAUAUUUAGACUGAAUAUGGAUAUAAUUUUUAUAUUGAAAUAUCACCCAGCCUUAUGGCACAAUUACAAGUAUCUGAGCCUGUCGCAAUAUGCAAUAAUUCCAUUUAUUGCACGAUGAAUAAAAUUGAAGGUGGUAAUUUUCCUGCUGCGAUUUAUGUGCGCGCGCGUGCGGCAAACGUGCUGUUAAAAGUUCGGAUUCAUUGUUACCAAUUGCGCAAAAUGCAUCUUCGUUCCAGGUCCGGCAAAAAAUAGCGCCGGAGCCAAUCGUUCCCAUUUUAUCCUAUUGUUCAACGUAUACCAGCGUCAGUGUUCCGGAUUGACUGCGGACCAUCUCCUGCGUGCCGGUGUUGUUGACGUGUGGGGGCUCCCGUCAGGGGUGACAUUUCACACGGGGCUGCUAUUUUUCACCGCAACACCGGAUAUUUACAACGAAGUCUGCCAAAACAUUGUUACCGACUUGGCUGCUACGAACAACCUUGCUUUGACAACGAACAGCUGAAUGAAAUUAAGAGCGCUGUGCUUCAAACUCGUCCUGUUUAUGAAAGUUGAUUGUCAUUUGCUGGUGUUGUUUAUUAAUGAGCAGACGUGACUUCAGCGGCGUUUGCUAACUUUUUUUAAUGCGCGCACACACUAGAUAUCAUGAAAUAGCAACCUAGAUGUGCUACGUUCCAUGCCAUUGGCUACGUGAGCCCAGAGUGAUUAUACUACAUAUACUACAUCGAUGAAUUCUAAACUGUCAUGACUGAAAGGAAGUUAAGAAGGCCAAAUCAAUCCAUACCAGUGACUAAAGAUAAUGUUGCAAACAUUGUUAAUUCAGUACGUGACACAGAUGGAUUCGGACCACAAAUAGGAUGUGUUGCUCAUGUAGUGAACCUCGCUGCUAAGAGAGCUGUAGCAAUCAACAGUGUGCCCCGCCUCACUUUACAAACAGUAAAGAUAGUUCUCAGCACUUUUAUACAAUUUGUUUUCAGAUCAGUAAGAAGUAAGCACAUAAAUAUUAUGCACUAAAAUGCAUGUUUAUAUGAUGGCAAAUUAAUUAAAAAAGAAAAAAAAAAAAAAAAAAAACUGAAACAAAAAAUAUAAUUGCUAUUUUUUUUCAGAGCAUUAAAUGUAUUGAAUCGGAUCGAAAAUCGUGUCCCCCGUAUCGAAAAUCGUACCGAACCGUGACUUAACUGUAUCGUUGCAUCCCUAUGGAACACAUUGUAGAAGCUAUGACGGGAAAAGUUUUCAUUUGCCUAAAUGCUUAAGUUAUUGAGUGCAAUUUUAUUAUUUUUUUCUUGAGAAACACAUUUUAUUUAUUCUGUGUUUCUGUGCGAUAUCAAUAUUGUUGUCUUUUACUUAAGAGGCAUGGUCUAUUGUUUUUAGUUGUGAUUUCUUAAAAAGUAGUUUUGAAUUUAAGAGUAAAUAUUUAUCGCGUUUAAAUGGGUGUACUUGAUCGAUUAAUAUAUACUGUAUUCUCACUGUAUUACUGUAAAUUGGUUUUAAAAAAAUGGGGUGGGGGCGCAAUAAUAUCGCAUAUCGCAAUAAUUUAUGAAUUAAGUUAUCGCACGCUAAAAUUUGUUGUCGCGACAGGCCUACAAAUAUCAUCAUCAUCUCAAAGCACUAGACUUCGUUAGGAAGCCAAGUGAUUGAUUAGGUGGCUAGGUAAAACCAUGUUGUAAUUGUUUGUUACUAGGUUACAUAAUGUUAAGCCUCACAUUGUACUUUUGCGUUAAUGCUGUGCUCUACAUAAACUGAAAGUCAAACGACAGUACAUGUGCAGAAAAGUGUCUUUGUAAUUGCUCCCUAUUCUUCUGGAUUGAAAUUCUCAUCAUUGUUCUGUUGCUCCCUCUCUGUUUUGACACUCUGUUCACUUUUCUCUCAGCCUGAGGGUGCUUCUGUGAUCUAGAGCAUCCUCUGUGUUUUUUGGAAGCUUUCUGUCUUGGAAGGCAUGCGACAGAAGCACCAGCUCAGAGCGGACCCGUCUUUGAGCAUUCACGUCUCACUAGCUCCCUAGGCACUCAUUAAGAUGGUGUGUGUAGGUGUGCAUUUCAGCUGUGUGUGGGGACAAUGGGUGGGUUUGUGGUUCAUACUUGCAUGUAGAGGUUAAAAGACCCCCUGACGGAGUCAUAAUUUCCCAGUCAAGGGCGACCUGAAAACUUAACUUCAUUAGCCUGGUCCCGCUUUACAGAUUAACUUGAUUAUCUCAACGUAGUCUUGAUGGCGACAGUUGGUGCAAAUGUUACACCUGGAACCAUCUUCCAAUUUUCGGCCCUUUGAUAUCAUGUCAUGAUUGUAGUUUAGAUUAGAUUAUAGUGUGCAUGCGUUUGUGUAUGUCAAGAAAAUAGCAAAGGAGGACUCUUGGUACACCUGGAAUGCUUGGCUGCACUGUAAUUUCCAAAGUGGCUCCUCUCCUGGUAAUGAGCAGGGGUUGCUCUUGAAACUCCUUUCCAUAAUUUACUUGAUGAAAGUCACACACUUGCUUUGUUUUGCGCAUGCCUGCACACGUGUGUCCUGUCACUCAGCUCCCUGUCACAAGUCCUUUUUUAACAUUCAUGUCACAGUGCGGAUGUUUCCCCGGAGUACUCGUCAGCUUAUCCAUUACACAUUACCUACACAGACUUGCAUAGCCACAUGGUUGCCCUUUAAUUACAGAGAGGGCAACCAACCUUCGGCACACGUGAAUUGAUAUACCGUACCUCUUAACUCACUCAUUAUUAGGUGACAUGUUAGUGACCUGUGGUGCUCUUCGGCCAGGAGCAAGCUGCAGUCAAGGAUUGUAUCAGUCAUUGGAACAGACACGUAUUACCACACCUUGACGGGUGUUUCAACAGCCUCAUCUUGUUGUGACUGUCCUCUGGCCUGUUACUGUACAAUUGCUACUUCAUGUCUUCUGUCCUCCUCCUUGACAAUGUGUUCAAGUUGCAGGCUUUAAGAUUUGUUUUGUAGAACUACCAGAUUCCUAUAUUGUGCCCAUAUCUUUGAUUUACUUUUACUUUGAUGGGACUUAAGGCUGUGUUUUGCUUCCGCAUCAGACCUGCGCCGACAAGGAAGACCCGAUUUACGACCCUCCACCGUAGCCUCUCUGGCUCCUUCUUUUUUUUCUGACUUCGCGUCGCUUCAACGUGUGUGACGUGGUGGCAAUGGACUAUGAUUGGUCAACUCAGACUGUUGUUUCCGGUUCAGCGCGAAAUCACCGCAAUUGUGAAACAUUAUUUUUCUACACGCAAAAAUGGGCCAAGCCGAUGAGAGUAUCAACGAAGAGCAAGUACGACAACUUCUACAAUGUCUCGUCAAGACGUUAUGAAGAUUGCCAAAUGGCAAGCAUUUUGUGGGAGGAGAAUGCUGAAAAUACGGGGCUGGAGGUCAGCUAGUGAUUGAAUAAAAAAAAAAUGGAAGAACCACCGAGACAAGUACAUUAUGUGUGUGUUUGGAAUCAAAUGGCCACACGAAGUGGUGACCCAGUCGGCCAAAAAGUGCCAGAUUUUUAUCACUUUACGUCAUAUUUUUGGUUGGUGCACUUCAUCAUUUAUUGUGUAGAUAUGUUUGCUGUGUGUCUGUGACUUAUUUACGUGUCACACUUAAAGUAUAUGAAGAAUAAAGUACAGGUUUGGUGUGAAAAGAGUUGUUUUGAUGUUUAAUUUUCAACAACAGACAUUUCACACUCGAUAUAUCAUCACUGAUUGAGAGUGCCUCAAAACCGUCUUCUGCGUUGCUUGCGCCUCAACAUUUGUAUGAUCAACAUUUAUUCAAUGUUGAGGAGCUGAAUAGCCACAUUCAAGGGUUCCAUCUUGCAUUGUUUAUUUUUUCUCCGUUAAACUAGACUAGAGGAAGUCAACAAGCAUGCCCCAAAACCGUAUAAACGUAACACUACACCCUUCUAGUGGCUUGGCGGUGAAUUACAGAGCAACGCGUUCCCUCACCGCAGAACUCUCGAAUGCUCAUUGACGCCGUAGUCACUUCGCCCGUCACCGCAACGCAUAACUCAGGCUUCAGACCAAAUACUCAUUUUACAUUUAGGCUAGGUUCAUACUACAGGUCUUAAUGCACUAAUCCGAUUUUUUCGUGUUUUUCCGACGCGAGUCAGGCAUUUACUUGACGGUCUGAACGGGACAUGUUGCAUAGAAGUGGACCAUUUCAAAUCCGAUCUGAGUCACUUUCGUAUGUGGUUCAAAUCCGAUUUGGCCACAUUUUUUCAGAACGUGACUGGCGGUCUGAACUGUCAAACUCCCAAAUCGGAAUUCGUGCAGCAAUUACGUCAGCAAAAAGCAAGAGGCACGGAGGAAGGCAGCCAUGUAGGCAUUAGCGCCUAGCUUGAAGCGGGCUUGACCACAGUCAUAAAAUAAAACAAAAGAAAGAAUAAGCCUUACAAUUUUCAAUUUUCAUUCCGUGCGCUGAAUGAGCAAUAUCUCAUUAUUGCACACAUGGCCGAGUCGGGGCAAACUGAUGCACCCACGUCAUUUCACGCACACACGGCAAGGCUCAUGUGUGCGUGUGUAUGCGUUCUAUCAGUCCAUAGAAACUUUGAAUAUAAGACUAAACGGGGAUUAUUAAUGUCUGUUAUUUGUGUCCUCUUUUUGGAAAUCAAAAUAUGAUCACUCUGGAAUGACAUACAGCUAGCAUGUGUAACAGAGGUUGCGCUAGACUUUUUCGUUGUCUGUCAUUUUGACUGACAGGGUCAUAAAAAUCCGGUCAUAAUCUAUUUUUACCCGUCACUUAAAUUUUUAAAAUGAUAAUGACAUUGUGGUGACCCUUUGUUUGGCAUAAUUCACCUUCCAUACUUGUGUGUCCAUUUAGCCGAGCGCGUUAGCGGCUAUGACACAGUCACGUGACAGAGACACUUAAGAGCCGCGUGUGUCCCGCUUGAAUAGAGAGUUCACAGAGAGCAGCAGAGCUACAGCGGCUGGACAUAGCAAUUCGAGCUAACAAGACUCUUAACAUUGCAUACCGCUUGAACAUAUUCAAUAGUAUUUAGUUUUCAUUCAUUUUAAAUUAAUAUUCUGCCCGAAUAAGCUUAACAGAGAAUCCACACCGUGCCAUCACACAUCAAGCAGAUGAAUAUGUAACUUUUUUCUCCGCAGUGACAAAAACAGCUGACUGUGGCCCCAGUAGCUAGGCUACGUAUGGAACAAUGAAAUUAACAGUUCACCUGCUGUGGCCUGAACGGAGUCUUACACCUUCCUCCUGGUGCGCAUGGACUUGAAUUGCGUGCCCGCUUGGGCAGUCCCUGUUUUUUCAUCUCUUUUAUCAACACCAUCGUCAUUAGGGGGCUUUUUGAAGAAACUUCGGACACUCAGUUGCCUUGACAUUUUUCAGAGUAAAGGCUCAAACACACCAGCAACGUGAACGUCGCGUCAACGAUCUCGCCGCGAUUACGCUUCGAAACGCGGCCGUUAAAGUCAAUCAGCCAAUGCACACCAGUCGCAGUGCGUCCGCGUGUUAGACGUGUCCCAGAAGCGCUAAACGCGACGCACGCGAAAAGAACAGCAGAGUUUGUUUUUUGACAUGAGACGCGCCCCCCCGGCGUCAAUACUACUAGGUAGGAUCGGGCAGGCAGGAAGUCACUCGUGUAAAAAUACGGUGGAUCUGGUCGAUUUUCAAAAUAAUAUGCAAUCGUAACUUACCAUAUAAAUAAAAUAAACUGAAAUGAGCUAAAACACCUGCAAUUAAUACGAAUAAUACACAACCCUGCUACACAAUUAAAUUAAUUCCUGCUUGGUGCUUUAACUUGAGAAAAAACAUCAAUAAAGCUUAGAAAAAUGUUCAUAAGAAAAAAAAUGUUAAAAUCUUUGUCAUUGGGAUUGCUUUUUGCUUUAGCACAUGACUUCUUUUUUCUUCUUUCUUUCAAAAAGAAAGCUGGCCAAUACGCGGGGUCUGAAAGGCAAAGUGUUGUUGUUUUAUUACCUUUUAAUACCCGCUAUUCUCGCGCGAUCUUGCAAUCCUCGCGUGAACUGAUCGAGCUGCUCCACAGACGCGCUGCCCGUGAAACGUGUCCUAUGGAAAUUGACGCCGAGCGUCACUGGUGCAUUAUCGCGGCGGGAUCGUUGACGCGACGUUGACGUUGCUGGUGUGUUACCGCCUUAAGGCCAACGACGUCAUGCAUCAAGAGAGACAAUAGCUAAUUAAUAUGCUCACUCGCCACCCUGUGGUCUGGGGUGUGAAUUGCAACCUGUCAAAAUGACAGGUGGACUUCAGUUUUUUCCGUCACCGUUUUAAAAAAUCGGUCAACGACGGAAAAUAUUCGGUUAACGCGACCCCUGAUGUGUAAUUUGUUUUGAUGCUUCUGCGCAUGUGGGUCUCUUUGCUGAGCGCAUCUCGGACUGUGAAUAAGUGCGCUUGCGUGAUACUUGAACGAUCUCAAUGGACAAAGGCAGUCUAAACCGGCACGCCAAAAAAACAGAUAUGGCAAAAAAUCGGAUUUGUGCAUUAAGACCUGUUGUAUGAACCUAACCUUAGUUACAAUCUGCUUAAGCACAUUGCUGUAGACAGCAUUAGUUCACACAUUAUGAAGACAUAAGUUUUCCAUUGAUGACAUAUAAACAAUCUGUUUGCAAUGCACUAUCGCUGAUAUAUCAAUAGCUGAUUCCAUGCAUAUUUUUUAUUGUCUUGCAAAAAUGCAUACCUGACCUGAGCCACAUCAGAGAAUAAUGUUUUACCGUCUUGAAGUAUGUUGAGUUAAUCCAUUAAAUUAAGUGUGUGGGGAGAAUGACUGUAAUGAAAAUAAUUAACAGCCCUAUCGCAGUCAAUGCAACCUUUGUCCACAUUACACAAAUUUUGGAGUGCCAGUGACCUUAUAUACUGUAAGUAUAGGGACACUUGCUGCACGAUUUUUAUUAUUUCAAUAGCUGUGACAUGGAUUUUUUUUUUUCAUAAAAGUAAAAUUAUAUUAACUUGGUUACAAAGUAAUUUCUAACACCAAUACUAUGAGCUGCCCAUGUGAUUGAAGGGCAACACUCCUCUUCUGCCAAAGGGAUGAUGUGUAUAAAAGCUGCCUAUGGCGCUUAAUUCAUCCACUUGCGCCUUGCCUGCUGGCUGAUGCUUGCUACUUGCUGCCUACGGCCUCUUCUCCUGCUGCCCUUGUUGCCUUGGGGAUUCAUGCAGCCUGAUGAUUUUGCUGACCAGGCCCGGACGAGGGCCAGCCGGUCGCUGUUGGCUCAACUGCCCUGACCGCGUCCCUCCAAGCUAUAGGCAACUCAACCGCUUCGAGCUGAUGCAUUCUGAUACUUUACUUUUCCUGCUGCGUUGCUCUAAACCCCAGGGUAGCCUGCAAUGGUAUUGAGUACAUAGGGAUGUGUUUUAUAGUGGGUUUAAGUCACAUUAUAGGAAAACCAAAUAACUUGGACCUGCCAUUCUCAGCGAUAAGUGACAGACACCUCUACAAUGUCAGCAACACAUUUCGGCAAUCAGCAUACACAUGCACGCCAAUAUACAAACAUAUAUACACGUUAAUUUAACCAUAAACUUUCUUUCCUUUGUCUAACUUUGCAUUUAUCAUUUAUUAAUCCAUCCAUUUUCAAUACUGCUAAUCCUUGUCAAGGUAGCGGGGUGCUGGAGCCUUUUCUAGCUGUUUUCGGGCGAUAGGCCGACUACAUUCUAAAGUGGUCGAUGAUUUGCUAACUUUAUUUUAUUUAGUGAGCAUUCUAACGUAAUUUCCCGAAUAUAACACACACUUUUCCCCCCAAAAUCAACUUGUAAAAUCAUGGUGCGCAUUAUACACGGGUACAGGGAUGGAGACAGAAAUAUAUAUAUAUUAUAUAUAUUUAUAGACCGAUUAAAAAAAAAUUUUUUUUUUAAUUGACACGGUCAUGUUGUGUUGAAGAAACGUAUGCGACGAUCCGUUGCCGACCAUUACGGUACGUGAUGUCACCAUUUUGUUACGGUAAUACUUCACUCUGAUUCGUCGAAUGAUUUUGUCUGUGUUAAAUUCUGCUUUUUUCACUCUUCAUAAAGCACAGAAUUUAGUUUCUUGAACUCAUUUGAGUCAACGUUUAUUGCAGCUCCGCAACUCUGACCAUAACAAACGUAAGCACACAGACUUCCUGUGUCCGUCAACUAUAUCCGUCCUUCGGGAAACUCAAACCCAAAUAACUAUAGUUCCUAUUGUUACAGUCUAGUCUACAGCGAUGCGCUCUUUCCGAUUUCCGACUUAAAUCUUCACUUUUAUUUUACCGUAUCAAUCCAUGGCAGAAACAUUUAUUCAUCAUGAUGAAACGACAAGUUAUACAGCAGCCUUUAAAAGAAAAUUCACAUCUGUUUUGUUUUCUCCUGGAUUCUGGUAAGUGAAGAAGUUGUCAGAUCAUAUUAUUACCGUACAUAUUGUCAGUUUACAUUAAUGUUUUGAACUACUAAUGUGCUAUGCUUGUGCUGUGUUUCACCAGUCAGUAAAGUGACAUUUCUGUAUCUGUACACAAGCUCUGUUUUCUUGUAUUCUUCUAUUUAUUGAUGCUAAAAUUAGGGUGCGCGGGUACAAUAAUUUCCCCUAGAUUUUACAAGUAAAUUUGGGGUGCGCGUUAUACACGGGUGCGCCUUAUAUUUGGGAAAUUACGGUAUUCACUGAAAGUAACAGUUACUAUGUGUUCCUUUGUUUGGAUCAUGCUUUAUCACACCUCAGUACCGAAACAACAAACUCAUCGGCGAUACUGUGUGUGUCCUCUGGCACAAAUUCAUUGGUCUCUUUACUCUAUUUAGACUCUCAACCUAAUUGAUGGGAAAAAAAAAAAACAAGUAAAAACAAACAAAAAAAAACCCAGAGACUGUUCUUUGUUCAUAUGAUUACAAGCUUGCCCACAAGCACACAUGUAUCCGUGAUAAUACUGAUGCUUCUACUGGCAUGAUUUUUAAUUCUACAAAAAACAAGAAAAAAAAACAGCUACAGAUUGGUCUUCCAAAAAUGCCCAAAACAAACUUGUAUCUGCACAGCUGACAUUAUUUAUUCUUCUCACGGUGUCUGAAAAAAAUAACUUUUUACUGGCACUCCGGACCAAAACACAUUUCUAAACCUUUCCUCAGACUCCCACUGUGCCUUUUUUUCCCUGACCCACAAAUGCUUUCAAAUAACACACUUGCUUCAGCUUGUCUGCUCCACAGUUGCUUACAGCUUCCUGGUCAAGAUGAAGAAGAUGCAGACACAUGGAGAUGAGGGCUACAAAACAAAAUCUCCCAUGACUUUCUAACAGCUGCCUUGUUAUUGCCAGAUUUGAACUGACAUGCCUGAUUUGCUGAGUUUAUAACUAACUGCCACUUUGAUAAUGUAUUUUUCCAGAGUGAUAGAAACCCAUGCUGACUAUAACCUCUAGCUUUUCAGAGACCAAACACAAUUAUUGCAAAAAUUAAGUUGGCUCUGCAACGAUUGGCCGAAAUGGCUUUGAAGUUUUACUUUCAUCUGUCAAAUAAGCUUGCAAUAACAUAUUUAUUACCAUUGCUGCAGGGUGAGUGGGCACUUACAUAUUCAUGAAUACAAAAAUUGGAGCUUUAAAGUAACACUAGUAAGCCACUGUUAUCAGGCUUGUGUGCAUUGGAUCUAUAUAAAUGCUUUUAAACACCGGUGACGUUGGAACAAAAACACAUUCAGAUCGAUUAUCGCAAAUUACAUCAUCAUGAAAUGCAUCAUGCGAUUUAAAAAAAAAAAAAAUUUACUGUCCAGCCUCGGCACUUGAAGUCUUUUGAUGUGUGGCUAAACACAGGGCAGUGAGCUUCCUGUCACAAGUCUUGUUUUUUUUUUUUUUUUUUUUUUUGAGAUACCUUUUUCUGGAAGGCAGCCAGGGGUGGAGAAAUGCAGCCCUCUUUUCAGUUUCUCGAAUGAAAUCAUCCAUGCCAUAAAAAAGUUAUCUUGCUGAAAACACUGAAGGGGUAGCAUUUUCCACACUGGGCAUUCAUGGAUAGACAUAUGGUAUUAUGGUCUAGUAACAUGGCUGUAGAGAUUUCUGAUAUUUUUCAAUUUUCUUUUCCAUGUAGUAAUGUAACAUUACAGUGAACAAGCAAUUUUUUGCCCAACUGCCAAAAGGGACUGAAUCAGACAAUGUGGGACAUUUCCAAAUAGUUGCUCUAAAGUUUAUACAAUUAACUCUGAUGAAUGGUUCCGUAUUUAAACUGCUAAACGAUAUUUUAAUAAAAAUAUGGCCCCAAAAUUGAACAAUAAACAUAAACACAAAAAAUUUACAAAAAAUGACUAAACUGUAUUUAUUAGGGCUGUCAAACGAUUAAAAUUUUUAAUCGAGUUAAUUACAGCUUAAAAAUUAAUUAAUCGUAAUUAAUCGGAAUUCAAACCAUCUAUAAAAUAUGCCAUAUUUUUCUGUAAAUUAUUGUUGGAAUGGAAAGAUAAGACACAAGACGGAUAUAUACAUUCAACAUAUGGUACAUAAGUACUGUAUUUGUUUAUUAUAACAAUAAAUCAACAAGAUGGCAUUAACAUUAUUAACAUUCUCUUAAAGCAUCCAUGGAUAGAAAGACUUGUACUUCUUAAAAGAUAAAUGUUAGUACAAGUUAUAGAAAUGUUAUAUUAAAACCCCUCUUAAUGUUUUCGUUUUAUUAAAAUUUGUAAAAUUUUCAAUCAAAAAAUGAACUAGUAGCUCGCCAUUGUUGAUGUCAAUAAUUACACCUUGCUCACUCAUGGUACUAACCCAUAUAAUCAGUUGGACCCAAACGCCAGCAGAGGGCGCCAAACGCCAAAAAAACAAGUAACAAGCGUACAUUGCACUGUACUGUCAUUUUAGUCUGUUUGAGCGGGGCAUGUGCGUUAAUUGCAUCAAAUAUUUUAACGUGAUUAAUUUAAAAAAUUACCGCCCAUUAACGUGAUAAUUUUGACAGCCCUAGUAUUUACUUUUCCAAGUAUUUUCUAAGUUUUCCUUUUUCUUCAGUAAUAACAUUUAAUGAAGUAUAUAACGGAUAAUGAAUGUAUGGAUGGUUUGCUUUUUUUGUUCUCUUUGUAUGGUGUACUAAGAUGCCAAAAGAUGUGUCCAAAGAUCUGGCUAUUACGAAAGUCAUAAUUGGUAUCAAGGAACUAUAUUGAAGUGAUACAUCUCGAUUUAGAGGCUACAUUACAAUCAUUGGAAGUCGGCGAAGGUUGCUACUAGGUGCUGCAGAGUUUAAGCUUGGCAGUAAAUCCUUUCAUGAAGUGUACCAGAAAUACAGGUAGUCUCCGGGUUACGACGGACCCGACUUAAGCGAUUUCGACUUUAGGACGCCUGAGUUUAAUGUUUUUUUAAAUUUUUUAAAAAAAUGUUGACUUUUGUUUUGUGAUGCAUGCUUUUAUUUUGGUGCAGGAAGCGUAGAAUAAGAAGCGAGCACAUGUACAGACGCGCACACACAGAUUGCCGAGUGACAGAGGUGACAGCCUGCGCGCACAUUUGUUGUUUGUGAAGCAUCCAGAGGCGACGGCUGUAUUUAACCCCUUUUGUACUGUUUAGUAUGCGUUUUUAAUUGUGGUCGAAUACUCGGAGCGAGUUCAUGUGAUUGUUUUUAAAGAUCCGCGGAUGCUAACUGACACACGCUAAUCGUUUUUUAUGCUGUAUAAGCAGCUACUUGUAAACGCAAAUUUGAAUAGCUGUUUUUGAAGAUGAGACUGAUUUAAUUUCAUUUUAUUCUAGUGUCAUUCUGCAAGUGUUGAUGUCAUGAGCAGCUGAAUAAAGUCAGCAAACCACACGGAUGUCUGACAUCGUCAUUUCGGCGCUUAGCUCACUGUGUCGCUAGGACUUGGCUCCAACGUCUUGGCGAGGAUGGUACAAUGACGAAUAAUACAUGUUUUUGGAUAGUUUUUUUUUUCACUUAGAAAGUGUUUUGAGGUGUUUAAAGGGUUAAUUUCAAUUUACGCUGAAAUCCGGGUUACAUCACCAGCACAGGAACGUAACUUGUUCGUAAACCGGGGACUACCUGUAUUCAGUUGACAGCUUUGAAGCCCAGUCACACACCCUCAGGCUACAUGACUACGGUAGGGUCUCUAUUUUCUGGUGUUAGGGCAUGAGAGUUUUGCACUUCGGAGGAUGUAAGCUAAAUUGCAGCUUGCUUCAAACAUGACGUACAGUGUAAAUGUUCAAUGCUGUUCGAGAUUAUAAAUAACGUUGUUCUGAAGUCUCAAUCUACAUACAUCUCCAAGUGGCUCCUCAAUCUUUGCUUUAUUCCACUCUGCCUCUUAUGACAUCUCCUGCUGCUUUGCCCUCUUCAUUCUUCCCUCCUGCCUCAACCCUUCCCUCAUAUGUGGCUCUGUGAGAUCUCAUGCUGGUCCUCUGUGACGGCACGAAUCAACACCAGCAGCAAGUCUAGGCACAGCCUGUGUCCUCCCUCAGCAAGGCCACACAGAUUGACGGGUUGUGCCGCCAGAUGCGUUACGCCUCACUGCAUUUUGUGUUUGUCUGAGCGUAUGUGUUCAUCAUUUGCAGGAUGGAGGAUUGGAUGACGGAAUAGACAGCGGGAGAGCAGCUAUAGAAGCAGGCAGAAUCAGCUUUGCUUUGGUGGAGUUUACAUAAUUAAUGUUUUGUAAAUGGAACUGUGUCCACACAAAGUAUCAAGCCUAAUCCUAAAUACAAAUAUUGGUCACAGGAAAAUUUUCACCUGCCAAAAAACAAGUUAAGUGUUCUCAUACAUGUAUUUGCUUAGUAAAGGUUAAUUGAAUUUUUAUAUUUUUGUCUAAGUAUUUGGAUUAUUGGACCGUCAACUGCCUUGGUAAAAUGCACUCAAUAAAAUCAUAAUAUUAUCAACAUAUUCUUCAAAAUGAGGGCUAUUGAGGAUUUUGAGUUAUACCUUACAAAUUCAUAUGUGUUUUAAGAAAUCUUUCUAGAAAAGUUUCAAGAAUGAGACAGCAGUUGAUGGUCUUAAACUGGUGCAUUAACACAAGUAUAACUUUUGUUGGAAUUUUGGAACUCAAGUGUUUUAAAUUUUUGGGGGAGUAGUUGAUGAAAUUGUCAUAAUGACACAACUUUUACUUGUAAGAUUUUGACAUUCUUACAAAGUUACAAAGCAUUUGUAAGUAAAAUAUUCAUGGAUCUUUCAUAAGUGAAUUGCUGGUUUUAUGCUGAUUUACGUACUCUCACUGUGUCCCGCAGUGUAGGGUUUAGAGGAUGCAGUAUAUUAGACUAAAAUAUUCCAUUACCCUAAAAUAUGCUGUGAACUACAGUAAAUUGGUGUUGUAACACUUGUCACAGGAGCUUGUUGUAGUCCUCCAAAUGAGGCUUACACUUUUCAUACUGAUACAGAGUGAAACAACUGUGGUCUUCCUCAGGAUGUGUAGAGCCCUCUGAAAAUCUCCCUUCCAUCAGUGCUUCUUCUGCACUAAAACGUGACAUUCAUCACACACCCCACCCUAGUCAGCAUAGAACAAAUUGUAUGAAUGUGCAUAAAACGGUCUUGUAGAAAGACAUGCAGUGUGUAAACAUGAAAUAAAAUGAGGAGAGAUAAGUUCUCCCGGCUCUAGAGUAAAUAUUUUCAAUCUGAAAUAAACCUAUGAAUAUGUAUAUAUUUUUAAUUGCUGUAUAUUUACACACUCAUGCAUUGACAGGCAAGGACAAACACUAAUUAAAUGAAAAGACCUGUAAGAUUGCUGUGAAACACACUGAAUUAUAAAGGUACUUCAUUGUUUUAUGAACGUUCUUUUUGUAUUUUAGGGUUUGUUUACGGAAUAAACGGGCGGGGUGAAAACAAACAAGCAAGCAAACAAACAAUUCAGGCAGCAAAAUGCGACGGCAAAAUGUUAAUUUUUAUUCGGAACCAUUUACCACCGAUUCUUUUUGAACCCGUACCAAAUUGAUACCGGGUUUCGAUACCCAACCUUACUCUGUAACAAGACUUUUGCGAUAUGUGCAGCAAUGGAAGUGUGACUGUGUGGUGAGUUAUUAUGGUUAUUAUUAUAAUUACAAGUAGGGCUGCAGCUAUCGAUUAUUUUAGUAGUCGAUUAAUCCAUCAACUAGUUAGUUAGAAUAAUCGAGUAAUCGGAUUAGGAACAUUUAAUGCGUUGAAGAAUCAAAUUUAGGAAAUGUAAAACCGGCUUGCUAAGAUUGCACUUUCAAAGGAGUAUUAAAUGCAAUUACAAAAUAAAAUUUCCGAGUGUUUCUUCAAACUAUGCAGCAUUGCUCUUUCAUUUAAAAAUACAUUCAAAUACCUGAGCUUAACCUCAAAUGGUGUUAAAAAUAAAUAAAUAAAUAAAUACAUGAGGAUCUAAGUACAACUAAAGAAUUGGCUAACUUGCAUAGCAAAAGUCAGCUAGCUUAAAUGCUAUUAAAUGCUCUUUAAAAAAAUUUUUUUUUUAAAUGCUUUGAAAAAAUUGUUCAAACACAUAUUCCCCCGAAAAACAGCUAAAUGUACCUAUAAACCAAAUUAUGAAUGUAUUAAAAAAACAAAAAUAACUUACCUUAUGUUAGUUUUAACUGGGAGCAGCUGGAUUCAGCCAUGUUCAAUGAGUAAGGUCAUUUUCUCUGUUGCCACGAGAGGGCAGUGUAUCCACCCAAAUCCAUAAAACUAAAUGCAAACACUUUCUUAACCAACCAUUACAACGCCGCUCUAAUUAAACGAAUACUCGAAGCAGCAAAAUUUGAUUCGAAGCUUUUUUCUAAUCGAAUUACUCGAGUUAAUCGAUUAAUCAUUGCAGCACUUUUUACAAGGUGAAGGCCUGUUAAGCUGCCACUCGUAUUGUUGGAUAUUGCAUAUUGUAUAUCUUUUUGGGCUAUUCAUCCAUUAUUUGACGAAUCACAAUUCAAUUUGGUAGGUAUAUUCUAGUUAAGUAUUUGCAGCGAUCCGAGCAUUAAUUUUUUUCCCUUCUGUAUCAGGGCUGAUUAAAUAAAUGUGAAAUUGUCGUUAAUUUGCCAUUAGAGACAGUGGUGAGGGUUGUGUGUAACUCUAAUUGUUUUUGGGUGUGGAAGAUAUUUUUAUAUUUGCAGACAAUUAUCUGAAUCGUUCUUAUGCCAGUCAGUCAAAAUGUCUUAAUUUAUCCUUCGUUCAGUAUAUUCAACCAAUGCAGCUGCUAUAGUUAUUUAUUUGAUACAUAAGGCAUAAAGUAAAUUAAUAGUAAAUCCACAUCAAUUGCAAAUUUAUACAGCACAUACACAACAUGAAGAGCAGUGAAAUUCUUGCCUAAUUAGCUCACCUGGUUAGUUACAACCAUACGUGCAACUGCACUCGCACCCACACAUGCACACAGGUGAAGUAUUGUCGUCUUACUCAGUAGACUUGAUGACAUGGCUAUAAUUCAGCCUCAGAGCACCAUAAGUCAUUUUCAUAAUGCCAGCAUGUGAGUGCGAUGCAGUAGUUAAUGUUACUGAAUCACUUUGAUGAAUAACAGCAGAACAAAAAUGGCUCUAAUGUGAUCUUGGUUCAUUGUCGCCCGGGUGUGAUAAGCCUCCAGCAAACAUUAUGCAGGCGAGGCUCGGUUUUCAGCCAGCACAAUCGGCAAUUAUGUGUUGCCAGUGUAAUAUUAAAAAAGUUAUAUUCUAUGCUCAUCAUGUCUUCGUUACAAAUUAGUGUAAUGUGCUGUUAUUCAUUUCCAUAAAUGAUUUGAAUGUGAGAGCCUAUCUUCUGAAGCAUUUAGCGGAAUGUAUGAAAAGUUAUCUGCUGCCAUUAGAAUCAGUCUUUUUAUAUAGUGUUAUUCUCUUCCACUGCCCAAAAAAAUCAGUGCUUCUCUGGAUGUUAACAUGCUCAUAUUUCUCAACAAGAACCAGUUAGCAACUGUAACUGAUUUGAUUAUUCAAAAAUCUCUCCAUCAACUAAAUUAACAUCAUCAACACAUGGAAAUCGGUGAACGCUUAUUUCAUUUCUUAUUUAUUCUUUUAAUUUAUAUUUUACACAUGUCUAAUUUAAUGCAUUUGUUAAAUCAGACAGAACACAGCUCACUACUGUAUAUCAUCCCUACUCUGCCUCCGUUCGCCACUAUAAGUUAAGGUGAGAAUUAAAAUGCUUUUUUACUAAUGAUUGAUUUUUGUUAUUAUCAUUGUUAUAAUUAUUACGAUUUGUACAGUGGUACCUCGACAUACGAUCACUUCGACACAAUCUUUUCGACAUCCGACGUAAAAUUUGACUCGUCAUUUAUUUCUACAUCCGACGAAAUGCUGGAAAUACGACGAUUUAUGACAGCUUCGCAAUUUCAUUGUUUUCCUGCAAGACGCACACAUGGCGGAUUUUCUUGUGAGAUAAAUCAACAUGGGUUCCAAGAAUGUUAAAGCAGGUGGUGGAAAAAAAAAAGAAAAAAGGUGAGGCUUACCAAUGGAAAAAUAUGAGCGUGGGGUGCGCGUCCGUGAACCUGAUUGACAAUACUCCUACGACCUCCGUUUGCCUGUCUUUAAAAGUAAAGGUGACAACCAUCGCCAAAGAGAUCCGCCAGCUUUGUCAGGUUUUUAAUCAUUUAUUUCAGAACUUGCAGAAAAAACACGCCAACAGCCCGCAACAGUAGGACGUUAAAAGUGAAAGGAAUAUUAUCUUAACUGCACUCUCUCACUCUGCCAUCAACACCGCGGUGCGUUCAGGUACACCACACAAAAUACGACUGCCACAUUAGAACCCGAUUUGUUACAUUAUUACAGGUAUUAUUAUUAUUACUAUUAUUAUAUAUUAUUCCGAUUUGUAUGCAUAAUGUAUUAGUUUUUUGCUCUUUGUAAUCGCUAUUUCCAAUUGUAAAAGCAGUAUUUAUUAAGGAUUUAGUGUAGGUUUUCGGGCUGUGGAACGAAUUAAUGGAAUUUAUAAUGUAUUCUUAUGGGAAAAUCCUGAUCGACAUAGAACCAUUUCGACACACAAACAAGGUCCUGGAAUGAAUUAACUUCGUAUGUAGAAGUACCACUGUAUUUAUAACUUAUUUGUUUUUCCUAUGUGUAAUUGCUAUUUGUAGUUGUACCUGCGGAAUUUAUUAAGUAUUUAGCAUAGAUCUUUGGGCUGUGGAACUAAUUAAUCAAAUUAUACUGUAUUCUUAUGGGAAAAUCCUGCUCGACAUGCGACCAUUUCGAGUGACAAACCUAGGUCCUGGAACGAAUUAAAUACUAUGGAUAUACAUUUAAAAAAAAUCUGUAUAACUCAUGGCCUUAACCCUUUAUUGCCAAAUGUAUCACAUUCGAUACACCUAAAAUUUCAUGAUUUUGAGACUAAUUCAGAAUCUUGACAUUUCUUUUUGGAAAAAAAAGAUGGAUGCAAGUCAACACAUGCAUUUGCAGGUUCCAUGAGAAAAAGAAACAGGAUUUAGCAAGGGUUAUAGAUAUUAGAGCUCUUAUUACACAUAUUCAUAUUGACUUUUCUUUUUAGAAAUUUGAAAAAAAGGUUUCAUUAAGACCUUACUUUUCAAAUUUUGUGAUUCUCUGACAAUUGCUUCAUAUUGCAGGCAUUAAAGGGUCAAAUAUUUUUUGUAUAAUUGCACCUAAGCAGUGUUGUUUUUGGCAGCCCUUUUAAUUUUUGUCUUAGUCUUUUGGAUGGUAAUACUUAAACACAUUUUGAGAUGACUAAAAUCUGACUAUCUUCAUCUAGUUUUUGUUGACGAAAACUUGAGACUAAUUUCGUCCAGUUUUAGUCGACGUUUACUAAAAAUGUUUUCGUUUGUAAAAUAACAAAAAAAAAUUACUCCAAAGAUAAAAACGUAGUUUUCCAACUAUUUCAAAUGAACAUUGAAAGACAAGCACAUAUUGUAGCGUCUAAAAGGACAAUUUGAACUUGAUGAUAAUACACACACAGCAGGAAAACAGUACCAGUAACAUUUUUCAAUUAAUUAUACCCACCUUUACACCACAAACUGUAUCAAAAAAAAAAAAAAAGUCUGAGAGUUUUAGAGGACGUUCGCUAAUGCAAAUACUAACGCUACGAGUUACAUUUUGUGUAGAUUAUCACUGAGCACAGACCUUUAAAGUCUAAAGCAACAUACCAUAUUCUCUCUUGCCAAGAUAAGAAAACAAAUCUUACCGUGUGUGCAAACCUGGAGACUGGAGAGGACACUGGUUUGCCUGGCAAGGCCAGACUGUUGUCCUGGUAUUGUUUAAACACUGGGAGAACAGUGUGGGACCCAGCUCCUCAUUGGCCUCUCGAGCCCAAACGAAAGUAACCGUGCAAUCGGAUUCAUUUACGUAUUUGCGUGACGUGUUCUUAACGACCAACGUCACUCUUGCGCAUCAGAAGUCGUCUCCAGAAGAACACAGAUGGCGAACGGGAGAGCCAAUCUGCAGUAAAUUCAGUUUUAAAUGACCAAAAACACAUCGAGUCGCUAAAACCAACAGUCUGUCUCGCGCUAGCCAUGUUGAAUAAACUUCUCCGUUCCCCGCUCUCCUCGUAUGUUUAUUUCCUUGCGCUAGAGUUUCUUGUCGCUUUACUAACGUCACGUCCGCCCGUCGCUGAUUGGUCCACUCUGCUGUCUGUUUUGCUGUGACUUGCUCCGCCCUGGAAAUUUGAUCUGCGGAACGGUCGCCAGAGUCUAUCGCUGGAACAGCGGUGAGUCUGGAUUUCCAGGCAAGACACUGGUUAGUCGGGGUGUGGGGUGGGGGGUGCAGCAUGUCGCAUUAGUGACGCAACCAGACACUGCUACGAUGCAGGCUCACUACACAUAAAAUGUUGCAUAUUGUUAACAUGUGACAGAAACUAUUGCACAUAUUUGUCUCGUUCUUGUUAACUGGCAUUAGGCACGCUAUGUUUUAGUCUUCCAAAACACGUUUUUAUCUCGUCAUCGUCAUGAAAAAAGUGUUCGUUGACAAAAUAUUUUAGGUGUCGUCGUCGUUAACGAAAACAACACUGCACCAAAGGCUGCUUUAACAGCAAACCAUCACGUACCUGUAAUAACUUGCCUUAAUUAUACCGUAAUUUCCCGAAUAUAAGGCGCACCCGUGUAUAAUGCGCACCCCAAAUUUACUUGUAAAAUUUGGGGGAAAUUAUUGUACCCGUUUAUAACGCGCACCCUAAUUUUAGCACCAAUAAAUAGAAGAAUACAAGAAAACAGAGCUCGUGUACAGAUACAGAGAUGUAAUUUUACUGACUGGUGAAACACAGCACAAGCAUAGCACAUUGGUAGUUCAAAACAUUACCGUAAACUGACAAUAUUUACGGUAAUAAUAUGAUUUGACAACUUCUCCAACUUACCAGAAUCUAGGAGAAAACAAAACGGAUGCGACUUUUCUUUUAAAGGCUGCUGUAUAACUUGCUCGUUUCCUCAUGAUGAAUAAAUGUUUCUUCCAUGGAUUGAUACGGUAAAACUACUGAACUAUUGUUAUUUGGGUUUGAGUUUCCUGAGGGACCGAUAUAGUUUACGGACACAGGAAGUGUGUGUCCUUACAUUUGUUAUGCUCCAAAUUGUGGAGCUGCAAUAAACGUCGACUCAAAUGAGUUCAAGAAACUAAAUUCUGUGCUUUAUGAAGAGUGAAAAAAGCAGAAUUUAACACAGACGAAAUCAUUCGGCCGAUUAGUGUGAAGUAUUACCGAAACAAAAUGGUGACGUCACGUACCGUAAUGGUCGGCAACGGGUCGCCGCAUACGUUUCUUCAACACAACGUGGCCGUGUCAAUGAAAAAAAAUCGGUUUAUAUAUAUAUAUAUAUGUAAUACAUAUAUAUUUCUGUCUCCAUCCAUGUACCCGUUUAUAAUGCGCACCAUGAGUUUACAAGUUGAUUUUGGGGAAAAAAAGUGCGCGUUAUUUUCGGGAAAUUACGGUAGUAAUAAUACAUUUGAUUUCAAAGCACCUUUCAGAGAACUUAAGGACACUGCACAAGAAAUUAAAAACAGAAAAUUUGAAAAGCACAAUAAAGUAACGAAACCAAAAAAAAAAAAAAAGUUGCUAAGAUGGAUUGGAUAUUUUGAUAAUAUUUUGAAUUUUGAAUAACGAGCAGAGCGGAUAAAUACUCUUGAAGGUGGUAAGGUGGGCAGGGUGGACGGAAGUUGUAGCAAAGAGCAAAGUAGUUGAAAUGGAGUGUAUAUGUGUAAGAGGUCAAAUAGGUAUGAUGAAAACAGCCUGUCAAGAACAUUGAAUAUGAUGAGGAGAAAUUUGUAGUUCAUUUUUUGUUUUUAGGAAACCGAUAAAUGAUGAGGGUGAUGAGGCAUGCUGCAUAGUUUUGGAGCAGCUGCAGUUUCUUAUCAACCUGGGAGGUGACUAGGCUGCAGACAAGUGUGUCAGGGUGAGAGAACGGCGGAGAUGAGCAAUAUUGAGUCAGUGCCUACUAGUAGGACUUCUGUUUUAGAGCAAUUAAGUUGUCGGAAACAUUAGGAGAGCCAAGAUUUAAUUUCUUGUAAGCAGAGGGUGAAGGAGAAUGGUGGAAGAGGGGAUGUUGGUUUUGAAGAAAUAUAGAGCAGAGUGUCAUCAGCAUGGCAGUGAAAAAAGAAUUUGUGUUUACGGAAAAUGGAACCGAGGGGGGAGACUAUAAAUGAUUAAGGGGACUGGCCCCAGGACCUAGCCCUGGGGCAGAACAGCAGAGACAAGGAGGUAUUUGAAUUGGUGCGGACUGAAUUUAACAAAUUUUGUGCGGCCAGGAAAAUAAAAGGUGAACCAUGUGUGAGGUCUAUGGGUGAUACCAAUGGAAAAAAAGUCAAGAAAAAUGCUAUGAGUGAUGGGUUUCAAAUGGAGCUGUGAGAAGAAGGUGAAUGGACAGAAAACCGGUGUUGGAAGCUCCAAGAAGUGAUACUUUUGUAGAGCUGUUUCAAUGCCGAGAAGGGGACAGAAACCGUCUUGAAACUACUCCUAGAUAUUGUUUGAAAAUUUUGAAAAUGAAGGAUAAAAAUGGAGCAGAUAUAAAAACAUACAGAAUAUAUACAUACACAUACAGAAAGCCCGCAAACACUUUGCUGAAGACAUGUCAACAAAGCACAUGGAUUACUGGAACCAUAUCCAAUGGUCUGAUGUGUGCUUUCUUGUGUACCGUCUUCAGAAGAGGCUUCCUCCUGGGGUGACAGCCAUGCACACCAAUUUGAUGUAGAGUGCGGCGUAUGGUCUGAGCACUAACAGGCUGACCCCCCACCUCUUCAGUUUCUGCACUAAUGCUGACUACACUCCUGUAACAAGUCACAUGACAUUUUGGAGGGAAAAUGACAAGCAGUACUCAAUUUGGACAUUUAGGGAUGUACUGUACGUAUUUACUAACGGGUCUACUCACUUUUGUUGCCAGGGGUUUAGAUAUUAAUGACUAUAUUUUGAGUUAUUUUGAGGGGAAAAUGAAUUAAAUCUAUUAUUUUAGCUGCACACUGACUACUUUUCGUUGUGUCAAAGUGUCAUUUUGUCAGUGUUGUCCCAUGAAAAGAUAUACCUAAAUAUCUGCAGAAACGCGAGGGGUGUACUCACUUUUGUGAUACACUGUAGGUCAAUUUUCCAAUUGAGGUAUUCUCUUGAGCAUGUGGUGUUUCCCCUAUGGUAUAAAUCUGUGCAAGCAGAUAAAAUUUGGCUCAAAUAGUCUGGUGUGAACAUUGAUUUCCCAUUUUGUAGAACAAUGUAGUGUCUCUAAUUCUAUUAGAGGUGGUUAGGAUUUCCCCAUUGCUCUCAUCUCCCCUUACAGAAUACACACCAGACAGAAUUAUUCCAAUGAUUUCAUGUUGUCACAUGCUUUGUGUCAAUUACAUCGUCGUCAUAAUUAGCUGGAGGCUAGAAAAGAUGAUGUGAUCAAUACUUGGACCGGUGCUAAAUUCCCCCACGUGUCCUCUCCUCCUCUCGACCUUGCUUUAACUUGCCGUGUGUUACUUCACACCGUCGCUGUGAGAAGUCAAUAACACAUUUGUUAGAAGCUAGAUCAGACCACCCCUUCUGGGCUUAUCAUUGGCUUAUUAGUAUACGUUUGUCCUAUAUUAAUCAGUCCAGCUUUCUGCAUGACCCUUAAUGCUACCCUUUCUGAGGGGAAAAAAUGUCGCUGUCUGUCGUGCUGGCAUCGCAUAACAUAUCAUAAUAGCUCAACAACUGGCAGCAAAUUUGUCCUGCUGAGGUUUUGUCCUUAAUUGCGUCGGGAUGUGCGAUGACCCAGUUUGAAGUUAGCGAUAACUGACUUCAAAGACUGUGUUUGGCCAUGGAAAUAUGCAACCGAUGAUACAUUAAUAAAACCGGGAGGUCCCAUGCUAAUGACUUAACUGAGUAAAUAAUUGUACAAAACUGUUUGCCAUCAGUUAUUCUUUUAUAUUUCAGUUCUUAUUUGUCGAAGGGAGCUGUUACUCCCAAAUAAAGCUUUGUCAACCCUAAACAUUAUUUGAAGAAAUCAACAUAAUCUGUCAAUUUCGUGGCAUAGAUUUUUGGUAAUUAAGUAAAAUGAAGUGCACUAUUGCUGCAGUCAGUUCAAAGAUUUACUUUCUGAAGAACAAAAUUGCCUCCUGGCAUUUAUUGGUAAUAUUAAGCUAAAUGGCAAUCUAUAAUUAUUAUUUUAUUUCGUAAAUUGGUGCUCUCAUAUAUAAUUUAUGGAUUACUGAUUUGAUUUCAUUCUUUUAAUACGUUAUUGCUGUUUGCCGCCAGAUUAUGAAAAUGAACAUAAAUAAUGUUUUGACUCUUUGUUCCUUUGCCUUAGAUUUAUGAUGUAAUGUACUGGCAAGUUAUUCCAUAAGACCUGCUUCUGAUAAUAAGUCACAAAAACCCACCACCUCCAAAUGUAAACUCGUUGCAAAUUUUCCCCUUUUUGUUUUAUUUUCAUUUCUGGUAUAUCCAUUCACAUUAAUUUUCAAUAUUUUUGAAAACCUGAAUAAAAUGGAUAUAUAGAGAUCCCUCAUUACUUCGAGCUCCAAACUUUGGGCCUUUAGUCAAUCGUGGAUUUUUUUUUCAAUUAAAAAAUGAAUGAAUAACUGCAGUAAUUGAUAGAGUUGUCCCGAUCCGAUCACGUAGUCCCUCACUUUCGCUCAUGCAGUUUUUCUUGGUCAUGCAGUGUGUUAAAGUUAACAAUAAUUGACAGAUGUUAAGGUUUGGUCUUGUCAGAGACGCUUGGAAGCCGAAACUUCAAAGUGCCACAUGUGUCAAUCAUUGCUUAACUUGUUAAACAGCUGCUGUGGCAACUCAUUGUGUGUAAGUGAGCAGCUUGAGCGGCUUUGAGUGGACUCACUCAAUUAAGCAUUUACUAAAGACGAGCAUUUUUCUACUUUAUUCUUAUCUAAAAAUAAUUCGGUGGGAUAGUAACAAGUUUAAAACAUCAUAUUUAUUAAAACCAUCUAUUAAAAAAAAAAAAUACAUAGAAAACACUCAGGUGUAUAUGGAAAACACUCAGGUGACUUGAAGUUCCACUCUGAGACCCGCAAUUUGGCCAAAUUUCAAAGUUGUCCUAUAUGCAUGUGUGAUACAUCAUUGGAAAGCUUAAAAUAUGUAUUUUUUGGGGGAAGAAAGAUUCUGAACAGGAAGGCAUUUUUUGACACCUUAAAAGUAGGCCAAAUCAGGUGAGUGAAAAUUCGACAUUUUUGAGACCUUUGAACGUUUCUCAUUUAAGAAAAAGGUUUUGGACACCAAUCCUGGUCCAUAAUAAAUAACGAACACGCGAUGCAGAAUUCACUGACAACAAAGAGUGGUCAACAUUUUCUUUUUCAAAUAUUUACCCUUAACGUUUUUUCCAAUUUUUCUUUGUUUUGAUCGAUUAUUUAGUAUAAAAAAUAUCGGGGAAAAUGCGACAGUUAAAAAAAAAAAAAAAAAAAAUACAAUUAAGCGAUAGCUAUGAGGUAGAUAUCCGUGACCUAUUCUAGUCUGGGGGCAUAAUGCGCUAUGAAAUUGCUAUGGCAGCAUAUAGACAUAUUGUUCUAUUAAACGCAACAGUUCUUUCGGCUUAAAAUACAGCAGUUCAUUUUAAAGAGGGGUGCAAGAGCAGAAACUGCUUUUUCAGCCUUGUCUGUGUUUUCCGUCAACAGCUCUUUUGGCUUAAGAUACAGCAGUUUAUUUUAAAGAGGGGUGCAAGAGCAAAAACUGUUUUUUCAGCCUUGUCUAUGUUUCCCGCCAUACAUUAAAGUUUUUUUUUUUUAAAUUAUACUUUGGGAAAAAAGUAAGAGAACAUGUCUUAUAUGUUGUAUCUUUCCAAUGCUAAAUCUGAAUAAAUACGGUUUUUCCACUUAUUGAUGCCAGUUCUGGUCCCCAUUCACCGCAAAAAACGAGGGAUCACUGUGUUGGAAACCCAACCUGUGAUAAUAAUUUAAUAUUAUUGUUGUUAAAUGCUCUCAGUUUUAAAAUAUCUGUCCGAAACUCAAAGAGCCACUCUGAAAGCAGUUUCAAUGUAAGCCACCAAAAUAAUCACUGCUAUUUAGAAGCACUGGAAUGCGUUUGACUGUGUGCUCAAACCUGAUGGGCCCAUUAAGGCCGAAAAUGGCCGCGUGUCAUUAUCUUUUAUCCUAAGCGAUUCUUUGAGACAUAAAUGUACAUCUGUACAUUAUUUCUUCUCUCCAAAUGAGAUGGAGAGAUGUGUUUCAUGUCGCUAAAGGCAGCAUACUCUCCCAUUGCAAAAAGGAUGAUGUUUUUAUUCAUAAGCACAACUAAGUCAAUGCUUAGUGUUGAAAUAAUUUUUCCCAGACUGUAAUUUUCAUGGCUGGAUGGGAAAAAUGUAGCAAUUUUUACUGCUGAGUGUCGAAAGCACCCUUUGCAGUUAUCUGAGAUGUCAAUAGUGCUGUCGGACUGUGAUGGAUUCAGGUCUCAGGUGAUUGCAGCUGCAGUGGCUCCAUGUUGUAAACAGGAGACAAGGGAUUACUUGCUGUCUAUCUGUGGCAGGCAGGCAACCUGUCGGCAGGAGUGUCACUUUCAAGGACCCGCUCCGCCCAGGAAUCUCCUUCUGAGCCUGGGAACAAUUUUAAUCACCUUUGAUAAUGGCUUUAGCAAGCACGGGGCGGGGACAUACAAACCAAUCAAGGGAGGAACAUGUCCUCGCUUCGCUAACUUUUAACUUUGCAAUGAAACUCCUAAGAGGUCAUGUUCAAACACCUCGGUGAGGCAGAAAACAAAAGAUCCACAAAACAGGGUUGUGCUAUAUUGUGCUGGAUCUUGGCUUGAACAUGAAUAUGACUGUGUUUGCCUAAUGUCAUUCUCCAGUGGUCUCCUUCAAUAAGAUGAAAAGGGUCUGAUUUGGUUUUUGUGUGCAAAAAUGGAUGCAAUCUCAAUUAUGCAUGCAAACAGAAAUGGAAGCUGACCUGAACAGGAUAUGCAGAAAUAUCAUGCUGGUUAUUUUGCACAUUGUUGGAGGGCUUUAUGCAAUUUAAGUACUUUAGCACUUGUAAUGUGAUUGCUCAAACUCAAGUCAAAUUCCGCUGAUUGAUAUUGAGUCUUAAACAUGCCUCAAACCAGAUGAAAAGAUUUUCAAGUCGUGUUAUUUUGAAGUCAUGUUAAAUGUUUUUGAAAUGACAAUGACAAUUAGCUGUUCAACAAUGCAAUUUUGGAACUUCAGAAUGAUCCAAGGGUUGGCUUUAGAGGCAGACACAAGAAGGAUUCAUGCCAAUCUGACAACCUCAUUUUAUACGUUGUUAAUAGAGCAUCGCGAAUAAUGUUGCGCGUAUUGCCGUUUAUCCAUGCAAACAUCCAUUUUCUUGUCAUUACAUGUCAUUUGGGGUGAGAAGUUUGAAGUAUGCAGUGCAACAAAAUAUGAUUAAUAUACGACAUAUGGACGUAUGGGUUGGAUUGCAUGUAUGGGUUUCACAGCACACUGUGACGAAAUGGUUGGCCAAAAAUAUGGGCCCCUUGGCAUUAUUUUGCUUAGGGCCCCCAAAUAGUCUGGGCCGGCCCUGACUGGCGCUAUAUGUGCUGGUAUGAGAUUCUGAACGUAUGACAACGUUAAGCCAAAAUAUCACGGUUGCAAUUACAGCUCUAAAAUGUGUUUCUUUGAGAUAUAUGGGUUAAAAAAAAACAUUGAACAGAAUUUUUAUUUUUCAAAACAUAUUAGAAAAAUGUAACAUAAAUAUAAUGUUACGUUUAAAAAAUAUUCUUCAUAAAAUCAUAAAAAAUAUAGUCCUUUAGGUGAGCCUAAACCCACAGCCACAGCUCAACAUUAUUACCAACAGAACAAAAAUAAUUAUUUCCAAAUAAAAACCACGUGGGCAUGACUCGUAUCAUGUUUACAUUAUACUCACUCACUCACUCACUCACUCACUUGCACAGACAGUUGCCAGAGAGAAAAACAUACCACAUGUAUUACUAUCACUAGACACACUAAACACGCUCGAGUUAACUCUCGUAGCUGGUGGGAAACGUUCAUGACAGCGUUUACUAACGUUUAAUUUUGCAUAAAUGCGAAAUCAUAUUGGAAGUAUUGCCUCCUUGGCAGGCACUAUCCGCAAACAUGUUUUACAUAUCGAUUGGAACUUUUCUGUCGCCGAAGUAUUCCCACACCAGCGAUUUAGUUUUCUUCGAUGGGGGGAAAUAUUCAGGAGUUUCACCUCUGACUCAGCUGACUCACUGACACUGAGCGCAACAACCGGUAGGGGAAGGUUGAGCCUUGCAGCUGCAAGCGAGGGAUUUCUCCAUACAUUUUUGGGACAUAAAAAUAGGUAAUACCUUAGGGACAGUAUGAUGGAAAGUAUUUGCGGUUUUGAAACCUUGACGUUUUCAUACUGCGGUAUACCUUGAAACCGGUAAUCGGCACAUGUCUAAUUGGCGCACUGUGAGAAUUGUUUUUUGGGCUCACUGAGUAAAGUUUUAAAUAGAGCUCGACCGAUACCGAUUAUUAGUGGUUAGAGGGGCUGAUAACCGAUUUUUGGAGCCAAUAUUCUUUUGCAAUAAAAAUGUAAAAAUUGGCAAUUCAAACACUGAACUUUAUUGAAAUGCCUAAAGCAUGUUUAUUGGCUCACACACAUAGAAAAUAAACGCUCCAGAAGUACCUGAAUUUCCUUGACUCAAAAACUUCUCUUAUUUAAAGUUGAAUAAAAGGUUAACUAAAUAGCACUCUGAAAUUCUUCCACAGAAAAUACAGAAAAAAUACAGGUAGUCCUCAGGCUCAGCAGCACAUCUUGUAAAGUUAAAUAAAAACUUGGAUAAAAGCUCCCUGAUUUGUUUUCACAAUAAAUGCAAUAAAAUUUAAUAAAACUUAAAUACUUUAACUUUGUUUUAACUUCAAACAAAAACAAAAAGUGCAGGAGUUUUCAGGCUCUUGUAGCUCUAGUAUACAAAAUUACCACUUAAUACUACUAUAUAAUACUAGUGCAGAAGACACUAGGCAGGAGAGAGGCGCAGCUACAUCUUAGCCGAAAUAAUCCAGUUUUAAAUUGAUUUUUUUUCCAUAUUUGGUGGCGUGGUCAGUGGUAGAGUAGUCGUUUCUCAACCUCGAGGUUGUGUGUUCGAUUCUCCGCCUCGUCUAAGUAUCUUUGAGCAAGAUACUUAACCCCACGUUGCUCCUGGUGCUGCGUCACCAGUAGGUGGAUGGGGAUGUAGUGUGAAGCACUUUGAGGGCCUUGCAGGUGGAAAGACGCUAUACAAGUGUAUCUCCAUAACUCCAUAUUGGCUGAUACCGAUAUACAGGUAGUCCAUGGGUUACGAUGGACCAGACGAUUUCGACCACGAUGCCUGCGAGUAGUAGUAGUAGUAGUAGUAGUAGUAAGUUGACUAUUGUUUUGUGAUGCAAGCUUUUAUUUUGGCGCAGGACGCGUAGAGCAGGUUGUAUGCGAGACCAUUUAUACACCUGCCUACCCCACACACGGCGGUGACGGCACACAUGAGGAAGCAGCCGAGUGCAGAGGUGACAGCCUGCACGCAUAUUUAUUGAUUGUGAAGCAUCCAGAGGCGAUGGCUGACCCCUUUUGUAUUUUUUAUCGUGCGUUUUCAAUUUUGGUCAAAUACUUGGUGCGAGUUUAUGUGAUUGUUUUUGAUUAUAUGCGGAUGCUAACUGAUACAUGCUAAUCGUUUGUUAUUGCUGCAUAAGCAGUUACAUGUAAACACAAAUUUGAAUUGCUGUUUUUGAAGAUGAUACUGAUUUAAUUCAAUUUUAUUUUAGUUUUAUUCUGCAAGUGUUGAUGUUAUGAGCAGCUGAAUAAAGUCAGCAAACCACAUGGAUGUCUGACAUCGUCGUUCCGGAGCUUGGAUCACUGUCUAGCGAGGACAGUACAAUGAUGUAUUAUCCAUGUUUUUGGAUUUGUUUAUUUAUUUAUUCAUCUUUUUAAUUUAGAGGGUGUUUUUAGUUAUUUAAAGGGUUAAUUACGGCUUACUUGGAAAUCCGGGUUACAUCGCCAGUGCAGCACUAUCUGGGGACUAUCUGUACAUCAAAUUUCCAAAUAUCGGCGCCAAUAAUCACUCCGGCCAAUAAUCAGUCUAGCUGUAGUUUUAAAUGCAGUGUUACACAGGAUGGGCAUAUAUGGCCCCUUUAAAUCCAAAUACAACACACUCAAGGUGAGUUAAAUCAAACAAAACAUGAUUUUACCCAAAUUUUCCCUGUGAUCAAUGCUCAAAGAAUUAGGAAAUAUAACCCUUAGUUUGAUCACAAUCAUAGAAAAACGCAAAUGUACAUGAAUUUUUCUAGUGUCAGACUGUCAUAAAAGUUUUUAAUAGUGAUAGUUAUGUUUUCAGUAAAUAAUUCCGCAAUUUAUUAAUCAGCCCUGAAGAGGGAAAAAAAAAAAAAAACGGGCUCGGACGAUCGAUAGAUAUUGGCUCGUGCUACAAAGCUACCAAGCUUCAAGACGACGACUUCAAAGUUAGUCUUCACAAGAACAAUAACAACCUGACAUGCCUUCAUCCUGUAAGAAAGAAAAAAACGCUGAGAGAACUGAGCACAAGAUGUCCUUUGAAAUCACCACAACUUCAUGUGACUUAAAAGAUAGGUGCCUUAAGGCGCAGAAGUGCACAUCCGUGUGGGCAUGGAUAGGGGCCCAAUGACUAUGGGAGUUUACAAAGCCUAGAAUUUGGUGUUAUGCCCAUGCUUAAGAUACAAGUGUAUUGAGUUUUUCGAGAGGUCUUACGGAUGAUUAAAAGAAGAUGGAAGGCAAAGACUCAAAACUUGGAGUCCUGCCUCCAAAGUGGAAGGAUUCGAUUGUGGGGGCUUGCUCUGCAUCCAUAUCAAUGGAACGCUCCCGCACAGAUAACAUCAGCACUCACACACGUCACAUUGGGCGUGCUCAGCGGUGCUACUAAACAUUAAAAACAGCAAAUGGCGGAACGUCAGCAUUAAUUUACUGUUUUAAUAAUACAGUGGUACCUCUACAUACGAUCACUUCGACACACAAUCUUUUCGACAUCCGACGUAAAAUUUGAGCCGCCAUUUGUUUCUACAUCCGACGAGUUGCUCGAAAUACGACGAUUUACGGCAGCGUCGUGAUUGAAUUGGUUUCGCUGAAUACCGCAGCACGGCGGGUUUUCUUUAAAAAAAAAAAAUCAACAUGGGUCCCAAGGUCGUUGGUAAAAGUGAGGGGAAAAGGAAAAAGGAGAUGCUUACAAUUGAAAUUAAGAAAGAGAUGAUUGAAAAAUAUGAGCAGGGUGCACGCGUUAGCGAGUUGGCUCGACAAUAUGGCUGGAAUAUGUCAACAAUUUCGACGGUCAUCAAGCAGGCGGAAGCUAUAAAGAAGGUAAACGCCUCCAAAGGGACUACUAUCCUGUCGAAACGUCGUGGCGUUAUUUUGGAGGAGAUGGAACGCCUUUUACUCAUUUGGAUUAAGGAUAAAGAGAUCGCUGGUGAUUCAGUCACUGAAGCAAUAAUCUGUCAGAAAGCGUGCGCUGUUUAUAAUGACUUAAAGACCGCACCUGAAGGGAACGCGGAAGUGGAGAGCCAUCUCGCCGCCGAGGAAGAAUUCAAGGCUUCUCACGGUUGGUUCGAAAAGUUCAAGAAACGGACCGGUAUUCAUUCUAUUGUUCGUCACGGGGAGGCUGCAAGUUGUGACGCCGAGACUGCCAAGGAAUUUGUUCAGCAUUUUGAAAACAUCGUGGAGGAAGGAGGCUACGUGGAGCUGUCUCGGCCGCCUCCGUUCGCCAUGCACCCUAAGUUAAGAACGUGGCUCGCCGCAUCCUCCCUCGGCUCGCCGUAUUCCCUCCUCCUGCAACACCCGCUGUCUCGUUCACCACUCUAAAUCAAGCACGGGCUCGCCGUGUCCUCCUGCAACAUGCGCUGUCUGCUUCGUCUCCAUUCACCGCUUUUACGUUAAGGUGACAAUAAAAAUGCUUUUUUCAAACCACUGAUUGUUUUUAUUAUUAUUAUUAUUACGACUUUUAUUCAUAAUUUAUUUGUUUUGCUUUGUUUAAUUGCUAUUUGUAAUAGUACCAGCAGUAUUUAUAAUGGAUUAGGUUGGGUUUUUGGGCUGUGGAACGAAUUAAUUGAAUUACAAUGUAUUCCUAUGGGAAAAGCCUGCUCGACAUACGACCAUUUCGACUUACAAUCAAGGUCCUGGAACGGAUUAACUUCGUAUGUAGAGGUACCACUGUAUUUUAAAUUGAAAUAUGUUGAAUGUUUCCAUUUUUGUGCCUUUUGAGGCAAAAGAAAAAUGCCAUUGCUUGGAGUGGGCGGGCAUAUUGUCUUCCAGGCUGAGGAGGUUGUUGGGGUCAAAGUGCAUCAUUCGCUGUCGCCUUGUAAAUCUGCACUGCCCCUAGGGCCUGGCAUGAAUACCACAUCGUUUUGAUGCAGAAUUGCGACAUCGGUCGUAUGGAGACGAAACCAUAUAGAUGCAAACGUGAAAUUUUUCGUCUUCUCUGAGAGUCACCAUGUAAACGGCCCUUUAGAUACGACCGUAAGUGGAAGUGAACUCAACCCACUUGAUAGUCAGCACUUUGAAAGAGUGAGCAAUGCUUCAAAAAGAGGCUUUAAGCUCUUUAAUGCCACUCACACCUGAAGUAAGUGUAAAGCUAGAGAAGAGAAUUCCACGCUGUGUAUUUUGAUACAAAUACUAAAACACUACAAACAGCACUACAAACAGCACUUAUUGAUAAAUUAAUUUGAAUUGAGCACCAACUAAGGAGAGCAGCAUUGUGCACUGUAGUGAAUGAAAAAAUUUGAGAAAUGUUUCACUUAAUGUUUUUUAAAAAAAAAAUAUUUAACCACUUAGACUAGCACCACAAUAUAGCAACAGUACAAUAUUCUAACAUUUCGUUUUGGGAGAAACUGGGAUAGAAUAUUGGCAUUUGUAUUCAUUUCAGUGGGGAAUGAUUUAAAGUAGUAAGUAAUUAUAUUAUGAAUGUGGUCACAACAUUUUAAAGUUUUAUGUCAACCACCAUUGUGUAUGUAAAUGUACAUUUUGAUGGAAUUGCAACUUGCACGACUACUGGCAUUAUUAUUAUCAUUACUUUUGCCUGCAAGUUCCUCGCUGUUUGACAUAAUCAUUUUCUUAUUUUCAUGAGAAAACUGUAAGCGGGAUGGAGCAUUUUGAAAAUAUGAAUAUUUUAUCUGAAAGGAUAGAAAUUAGCCUCCUGAGGUUACUGCUGUUUGACAUCUCUACGUGAAUAAUUUGUGCCUCACUGCUUUUCCUUUUCUUGAGCAUUCCCUACUGGUCUGUACCUUCAGUCUUUUUUUUCUGUGAGCAGGAGCCAGUAAAUAAAAUAAACUAAAAGCAUGACAUUUUAUGCAGAGGAUGACCAUUGACCCUGAUAGAAUUAAAUUAUGUGUGCCGAUGCAGAACCUUUUUAUUAGUUCCGUAGUUCCAUUGCGUAGACCUCGAGUACGCUCCUGUUCACAUUUGUCCUUUGUGGGCAGAAUGAUCAAUCAGAAGUGCAUAGCUUUAUAUUUUGCACUUGCUCUGAUUUUUAAGAAGGGUUGAUGGUUACUUUGAGGGUGUAUGAAGAAUUUUACCCAAAUAGCCUCUUGUAUUAAAUGUUUGUAUUAGAUAUUUGUACCUGGUGGGCCAAACUGAUGUCAUUUGUUCGUGUUAUACUUUGCAGCUAAGUACUACUUCAUUCGACGUCAAAAUUUUCAAGACCCAAAGGAUUAGCUAUAAAGUAAAUUGCUGUUAAUGGUGAAAGUUAGAAUAACAUGAACUUAUUUUACAUUUGUAAAGUAUAACAUUUUCGCUCCUUCACAUUUUCUAUCACAUUUUCUUGUAUCGUUUGAAUUACUGGUGCACGAUAAUUAUUGGUCCGAUAAUAGGAAUUAUGACGUCAUCCCAACAAAUCCAAUAACAUAAUUAAUGGGACCGAUAAUACAGUAUGAACUGUGCUCGCUGGCUGGGAAAUCAGCUGACCAUUUGCGGGGCAUUGCUGCCACCUGCCAGUCAGAAUAAUUCGCUGCAUCUAUAAUUUGGCCCACAAACUCAUUCACUUUACUCAGUGCUGUGUCUAGCGUUAGCAUUGACAAUCGUGAAUGCUUUCUGCCUCGGAAAUAUAUGUCUGUAAGUAUUUAUGUUUACUAUAACAUAUGGAUGUGCAAUAUAUGUUUACUUCAGUGGUGAAGGGUCAAAUGUACAAAACUUCAUAAGUUGUUGUGUUAUAGAAGCCAGCCAGUGCUUAAGGCUUGUUGCUCAAGCUAGUGUGCUAUGCUAUACAUACAUAUAAUAGUUGUCGCGUAAUGUUAGUCCUGUCAGCAUGCUUGGUAGGAUUUUAUACUAUGCAGAGAAUAAACCUCAUACUUUAUUGAAUAUGGGUUCACUCACUGCCGUUUAUAUUGAUUAUUAUAAGGCAAGCCAUUAAUUCUUUUUGUUCUACCAUAUUUUUGUUAUUAAGAAUGAGUGAUAAACCUUACUAUAUAAUGUUUACAGUGUUAGUUAUAAGUUAGUAAGUUAUUGAGAGGCCUUUUGGUUAUUGAUAGGCUUGCUGUCCUAACCUGUCUCCCAGGUUAAGAAAGUUGUUUCAUGGACCAAGACCACCUCCUGUUGCACCAAAUAUUUUUUUCUGAUGACAAAGCACAAUACCUGUUGUGUUAAUGUUUUAGUUCAGUGCUCAUUGUUCAGGAAACACAUCUUCAAUUAUAUUGACUAAUUAAUUGUGAUUGACUCAAAUUAUAUUCAUUUGAAAAAAUAAAUAUUGGCACUUUAUUUGAAGUCAAGACUGUUCUUGUCUUUAUUUUGUUCAUUAUAAUAAUGUUCAUGUCAUUAUGAAAAUUCUGGUGAGAUCAAAGACAAAUUUAUGUUGAAUCCACUAUUAUUCUUAUUUUUUAAACCUCCAGGUGUUCAAAAACUCGGGUGAAUAUACAUUAAAAAAAUUAUAUAUUUAUUCUCAGUUAUCGAUAUUGGUAUCUGCUUUGAGGAGCAGGAAGUUAUCGAUAUUGGUAUCUGUUUCAAAAAAUGGAUAUCGUGGACCCCUAGUUUGAAUGAAACAGACUAACAUCAUUACUGAGGUUAUUCAUGUUCGAAGCUUUAUGAUAGACUUCCAUGUACACUCAAAAUCUGAGUGCAUAACCUUGCAGAGUUGAAAGAUUGAAAACACUAACUAAACUGAUUACCCUUGUGUUCACCUUGUCGUCUUAUUGCGCCGGCAAAAGCGAGCCAGUAAUCUUUGACAAAAGGCCCUUGCUUUUUAUGCAGAUGAUAUGCAGAGUAUUUUUGAACCGUGCCGACUUUGGUGGGUAACAAAUUGUUUGUUUUGGGAUUUUGACAGUUUGAAUAUGCAAAUAUUUGAGAGAGGCGAAGGAAGGCAGGGAUUGAAGAAAGACAGGCAGAGAUAAUGUUGCUCAUUAGCAGUCAGGCCUUGAUGUGACGAUGCACGCUGCUAAUGUGAAGAGUUUUUAUCCAGUUUAGCGUAAUCUGAAUACUUGUCCUCACAUAGAACACACAAAUAGCCAAAGAGUAAGUAGACAGACGUCGUCUGUAUAUUUAAUUCAGUUUUGAAAACCAAGAUGCAAUACAAUAUUUAAAAUUCUCCAGACCAAUUAGUUUAUUUGGAACCUUUUGGCAAUGUGCCGGUCUUCUUCUCCAGUUCUGACUGACUGAAAUUGACAUGGGAAGCCAGGUGGCAUUGGAUAAACUGUAAUCAGUUCAGCAAACAGUCAGGAUGAAGCGUGAGCAGACUCCAAAAAUCUAAACCAAAGUGUCAAUAAGCAGUAUGGACCAUGUACUGCAUGUAACUUUCAAAUGCCACAAUAAAAACAGCAAAUAAUAAAUUACCCUUGAGUGUGAAUAUAUGUCCUGAAAUUAAUCAUUAAAAAAUCUUUAGGCAAUUUUAGCGCUUUGCACAAUGCCAGCACUUACUUGCAUCAUGACCAUAAUAUACUACAUAUUAAAGCGCAUAUGACACGAGAAAUAAAGUCUUAAAUGGCAUUAUUAUGUGAAUUAGAAUCAUAUUUUGAGACGAUUCGACUAUAUACAACAAUUUAGCAAAGCACAGAUGACGAGAAAUUGGUCUUUUAAUCUGCCGGUUAGCCACGCCUACCAUUUUAGGGCUUUAGCGUCCCCAACAAGUGGAUGACGUCAGUGGUAGACUGGGCUCAUCGGUUUUAUUAUUCAGCCCAUUGAGGGGAAAUUAUUCAGAACGAGGAAAACGCGACGAAGAGAGCCGCAAAAUGUCAUUGUUUCAGUCUCUCUACUCCAAUAUUUUUACAGGAUAUUCUUUUUAUCCAAGUAUUUUUCCCCAAUAGCUAUAUAAAUGGCUUGAGAAGGACCAGUCAGCCUGUCGAGGGGGAACUAUUCACAACGAGGAAAACGCGACGAAGAGAGCGGCAAAAUGUCAUUGUUUCUGUCUCUUUACUCCAAUAUUUUUACAGAAUAUUCUUUUUAUUCAAGUAUUUUCCCCAAUAGCUAUAUAAAUGGCUUGAGAACAAUAUAGACAUACACAAAAAGAGAAAGUAAGAAUUGUUUUGAAUCCUGUUAAAAAAGUGAAGUCACAGUGUUCUGAAUCUGUUUACAUUCGAUUCUUUUGCACUAGUUAAUGCCAUCAGCAUUUAACCUCAUUGUUUAUUUGUGAUUUAUUAUUGUUAUUCAUAUAUUUAUUUGUACUUUAACUCAUUCACUCCCAGCCAUUUUCACCGGUGCAACCCUCUUUGCUCCCGGCCGUUUUACUGGAUUUUGACUGAUUUUGCAAGGUCCACAAAAAAUUCUGUUCCAUUGCUAUGUAAACAUGGAACCCACCAAAAGAAAGAUUAGACUCUCUUCUUUCAGCAGGAAAACAAAGUUAGUUCAUAUCUUUUUCCAUUCUUUAGAAAUUAGCAUUAGAAAAUAGCUUAGUUUGAGCAAUUUUCCAAUUUCUGAUGAAAAAAACUGAGAAAUUGUGAAAGCAUAUAUUUCAAACAUAACUUUGACUUUAACACAGCUUUGCUUUAGUUACAUCCCAAACAUCUGAAUAAUGCUUUCCUUUUACAAAAUAACAUAGACAACAAGACAAAUAGAGCUUUUGAUAGCAAAGUAACAAUUUAUUUAUACAUAACUGAGAGAUGACACUGUUGUGGCCGCGACAGCGGAGUAAACUUUUCCCUCAUCGCUGCCUGUCUCUGCUCGGCAAGCAGCACGGACUCAACGGCAUCGUCUGCUGCACUGGUGGUCCUGGUCGUUCUGCUCGGUUGUCCAGCGCCUGGCAUCCCGGGCGUCCUCCCGGUUGUUCUGCUCGGUCGUCCGCUGCCUGGCAUCCUGGACGUCCAUUCGGUCGUCUUCUGCCGGCACCCUGGCCGUGCGGCCCGGCCGUUCGUUCCGUUGAAUCGGGGAUGCGGGUCUUACCAAAUGCGCUACUGCCCUCCAGUAGCCAGUUUUAUUGCCUAAAAUGGAUUUUCAGCGUUGUGCUUUGGAGCUAAGUUGAGUCAGAACCCAGAGAUGUCUCUUGUGAAAAAAAAAACUAUUAAAUUAACAAUUAAACAAUUAAAAUUAAAUUAAAACAAUUAAAAAUAGAAACAUAUUUAUACGUUUUUGGGAGCAAAUGGCUUAAUAAAGUAUUUAAGUGUUCCAAAAUGUUUUUUUAAUUAUUAAUCGUCAAGCAAAACAUUUAUUGCAGUAUUUGUCAAAAAAAAAAAAAAAAAUUUGUAAAAAAAAAAAAAAAUAUUAGACUAGUCGACUGAGCCUGCAGACUAAUCAGGAGAAAAAUAAUUGUUUGGGACAACCCUAAUCGUCAUCUUUUAGAUACGCCGUUUUGUUAAAAACAAUUGUUGAAAUGUUUCAGUAACGAAAUUGUCAAUAACAUCAAAUUUGUAUGUAUAUACAGUUACAGGAUACAUAUAUGUUUGUAUGUUUUCUAAUAUACUGUACGUGGAUGAAAUUUUCCUUCUUGUGUUAAAUGUGCGCGUCGCAUAUUGGAAUCAUGGGGAAUUUGUACUUUCAGAAAAUUUUUUAUCAUUGUCUAAAGAAUAAAUAUUGUAUCAUCAUGAAAUGAGUUAUUGACACCCCUUAUACACAGUUCAUACAGGUGAAUGGGGCAGAACUGCAAGGCAUAGAAUGCAUUUUAUAUAUUUGCUUCUGAAUAAAAAAAUAGAUAGUACUAAAGAGCUUAAACAAAAGUGAAACAAUAACAGAGAGUAGCCUCUGCAUCAUGAAAGAUGAUACAAGAUGCAAUAGAUGGAACUGUUAAAUUUGUGUUUAAGGGCAAGAAAACAAAUCGAAUAGUUUUAUUGAUUUUACUCUCCACGUCUAUAUUUCUUCUGGAUCAGAGACAGAAUUUAGUGGCGUUUACCAUAAUUGCAUAAACUUAAAGAAAAUCUAAUUUUCUCCAUUCUGUUAACCAACCAAUGCACAGAUAGAAAAAAAAAAAAUUAAACAUACUGCGUAUUUUUGUAAGGAUGGGCUUAUUCUUAGAUAACCAUAACCUCGAUGUCCAGAGACAAUAGGACUGCUCAUGCUUAAUCUAAAAGGUUAGUCAUCUGAAGUUGUUCUGGCAUCUGGUUGGGUUCCUGCCCCCAGGCGCUAUGGGCCCAGAUAAGCAGCAGAAAAUGGAUGGUUUGCAAUAUCUCCAUGCGAAUACGGAGCCAGCACUGUGCUCCUGCUGCUUGUUAAGAAUUCUGUGCCUGCUUAGCAUUGGUCUAUUCGCACUUAUCAAUCUAAUACUGAGGUUACGCUCCAUACUGCUCUGGCACCCACUUUUCCCCCGUCGUGUUCAUGGUCUAAAAUCAGACUAAUUUUGGGGGUGACCCGCUGCUCCUGAGAUUAAGUUAUAUAUCAUUCUCUUAAUCUUUGCUGACAAGUGUAUGUGGGCGCUGGAGCACACUUCGGCACCAUGUCAUCCACUAACAGAUGGCAUAAAUCAUUCUUUUAAACGCUGCAUUAAGUAUUAAUCAUUCUCUUCGAUGUCACUGUCACACUGCUUGGCAGGCCAGGGGGGCUGCAAAGUGUGAUUAAUGGAGGUGAAGCUAUAAGGGGCUGCCUUUUAGCCCCGCCCCCUUUACCUAGCUCUGGUUAUUGGCCUUGGCAUGGUGACAUGGACACUUGCACUUCCACAACAAUGUCUUUGGACAACAAGUUCAAUGGAUCAUGGAAAAUGAUUUACCUAAUGUUCCAGCCAAACCUGGCCGGCUGUCUCAUUUGGAAAGGAUAAAGCCAUAAAUUCAAUGUACUGUUAUGAUUUGUUGUGUGUAACAUUGCAUUUUAUUUGGCUUUUUAAGAGGUGCUUUUUAUUGCUUGUUAUUUUGAUUUAAAGCAAAUGUUGGAAAAUAGUGACGGACAAAGCAUCCUCGUCAAACUGAGCUGACGGUGUUCCCUUUUUAACUCAAUUUUGUGGUCAUUGUCAGUGAAUUUGUGUCACUAUCAAAUCUAUGAGUAUUAUCAUAAGAUAGAUGAGGUGUUCUGAUGUUAAACAUUGAUUUAUUCAAAUUAAAUAUAACCAUACCCACCAUCUUUUCCCCCUCUCACUGACGUUGCAGUUGCUCAAUUUCAUUUUUUUAGGUUUAGGUAACAGCUUCUCCUUAGUUUGUUGAUGUUAAAUUGCUUUUAACUUUUAGACUGUGUUUUUAAUUUAGAAAACCUCUGUCUUGUACUUUAAUCUACUCUUUUAGUUUGUGGCACACCUUUCAACUGAAGAUGAUGUAUGGUGAAGUAUUUAUUUUGAUUUGAAGACAAAAAAUAUAAUUGUGAGAAAAGAGCUUUAAUAUUAGGAGUAUUUAGAUUUUGAACAAAUCACAGUUUUAAUGUUUUAAUUUCCAAAUUAUCACACAAUCAUCAACUCAACAGUCCAGCCUGUGGAGAGGUUUUAAUUAUUUAAUAUACAUUUUAGGUGUUUUUUUAUUUUAUUCUAAAUGGUUAUUUUUAAUGUGCCGUAAUUUGCGCACUAUAGUGCACCUGACUAUAAACUGCA